rnacentral:lncRNA from 1 species
GUACUUGAACUGGAUCCACUGGAUCUGCUUGAACUGGAUCAACCUGUGGAGCUGGUACUUGAACUGGAUCCACUGGAUCUGCUUGAACUGGAUCCACUUGAACUGGUUCCACUUUACCUGCUAUACAAAUAUGUAGCUAAUGAGUUGGAUGUUCCAUUUAAAUUAUAUUGUUUUAAUAGCAUACCUUUCUCUUUUUUACAUUUUUUAGGUUUCUUGUUUUUUGGCCUUGAAGUGGAUGCUACAUCUGCUGGUCUAGUAGGACAUGUUGAUCUAUUGUGGCCCCUUUCUCUACAAAUAGUGCAUCUAUUAACUGAACCUGCUUUUGAGAUAGUAUGCCUUGUUUUCCCCUUGCUUUCCAUCUCAGAUUGAUCUUUUUUCCUUUUAAGGGUUGGCCUUCCUGGUAACCUUCUUUUUUGAGGAGGCAAUGGCUUCAUGUAGGGAGCUUCAGGCCACAUGGAACUACCAUUAAGUGGGUUAAUGGUAUGGUUGUAACAAGUCAAGAACAUGGCUGUAUGGAACCAUGGUGCAACAUAAUCCUCUGCAUUCCUGUUAAGGUAUGAAAUGGCUGCCACUGCAUGCACACAUGGGAUACCUGAUACUUGCCAAGAUCUACAUCCACAUGUGUUGUUGUUAAGGUCCACAGCAUAUCCAUCAUUUCCAAUCCUAACUUCAUAUUGUUGUAUCCCAGAUGGUAUAACACCCCAAAAUCUGCCCAAAAAAAUAAGAAGUUCUAUUAAUCUUAUAUAUGAGACAUAUAAUAUUAAUAUAAUAGAAGUUAUAUCAUACCUUUGCUGUUUCUUUAGCUUUGAUAUCUUCAACCUUAUAGAUGGACAUAUUUUUAAAUUCCCCCAACUUUGUCCCUCUUGCAACAUUUUAUACAUCCUCUCCAUUGCAUAAAUCCUUAUCUCUUCCAACAUGGUGAUGAGUGGCCUUUUCCUAGCAAGAUCAAUAAUAGAGUUGAAACUUUCUGAUAUGCCAUUCUCAUAAGCAUCACAAGCCCUGUCCACUUCAAAGAAUGCCCUGCACCAACUUUUAGGGUCCCUUUCCAUGAGGUGUUCAUAAGCCAAAGGGUCAAUUUUUUUUAUGGAAUUCAUUUCUGCCUCAAAUUUUGGUUGAGUAGUACUAGCAGCUGCUGCCCAAAACAACUUCCUAUAUUGUUCACCUUUGAAUCUUUUCUUGAAGUUAGCAUAGAUGUGCCUAGCACAUUGUCUAUGCUCUGCUGCUGGAACCCUUUCUUUGACAGCCUCUAUUAAUCCCUGAAAGAAAGCAUGAAAUAGAUGACAUAACAAAAACAUUCAACUUAAACAAAACAAAACAGAAAUAUACCUUGUGUUGGUCUGAUAUGAGGGUCAAUCCAUGACCAAUUCCCAUUUCAAUGUCAUCCAGAAGGAGGUCAAGAAACCACUUCCAUGUUUCCUUAUUUUCAACUUCCACCACAGCCCAUGCAAUAGGGAAGAUGUGGUUGUUUGCAUCCCUACCCAUAGCUGCUAACAGUUGGCCUCUACAUAUACCCUUUAAAAAACAACCAUCUACCCCUAUUACCCUCCUACAUGCUGCAAUCCAACCAUCCUUCACACCCUUAAAACAAACAUACAUUUUAGAAAAGUAGGUUGUGGAAUCAGGCAUGACAUUCACAUCUAUCUUUACUGUUGAACCAGGAUUUGUCCUCAUUAUUUCUUCUCCAUAACUCCAUACUUUACCAUAAUGUUCUAUCAAACUACCCUCUAUCUCAUCCAAAGCAUAUCUCCUAGCAUUUCUACAUUGAGUGACACUAACAAUCAAGUUAAACUUUGUACUCACUUUGGCCUUCAUUUUCCUUAUGCUCAUUUUAGGGUUCUUCACAAGUUGAUUCUUAAAAUGCAUUCCAAUCCAUUUAUAUGUUACAAUGGAACCAAGUUUGAAGACUCUUGAACAGUUAUGUUCAUCAACUAAUGACUUAAUUUGGAAAGACCUUUCACUGCUCAUCCAGGAAGCCCACAGUCUAAAAGGACAAGAGGGGUUCUUGUUCUCUUUACAACAUCUCACUAAUAACCUCUGACUAUCAUUUUUCUCAAAAUAAAGGUUGUACCCAUUCUUCACUGCAUAGUUAGUCAAACAAUUUUUCAAUUCCAUGGGGUUAGAGAAUCUCAUACCUAGAAUUGGCACCAUUUUGUCCCAUUUCUGGUUCUCAUUAUGGAUAGGGUACACUGGUUUGUCAUCUCCAUUCUUGGUUUCAACCUCAUCAGUUUCAGCCUCAUCAUCUAUAUCCUUACACAUACCUGACACCCGAUGUAAGAAUUCAUCACCAAUAGUCUUGUCAAGAGAAGGAAUGUAAUCAUCUGCUUCAUGCUCAUAUGGAACAUCAUCAGAAAGUUGUGAAUCUAUAUCAUCAUCCAGGUCUUCCUCAGAAUAAUGCCCUUCAUCAUCUUCCAUUACUUCCAUAUCAGCCCAAUCAAGUACAGGUUCAUUUUCGUGGUCUAUAUACACAUUCAUUCUUAGACCGGCUUCAUCACUAUAACCCGUUUCAAUAAACUCAAAGUAGUCAGCAUCAUUCCUAAUUCUCCUAAUACCCUCUGCCAAUGGUUCAUUUCUAGUGCAAUAAUAUACAUUAUCACAACUGCCUUCAAUCAACUUUGCAAUGAACAAGUUAAAGUCUUUGAAAUCCAUUGCACCAAAAUCGACAUCACGGAUUGAAACAACAACAGCGUUCAAGUACACUAAUGGUUUUCGUGCGAAUAAACCAUUAUAAUGUAUAUAAACUGUUAAAUACUUACUUUGUUUGGAAUCGGAGGCCAUCUUCUUCACUAUAACACUCGCAUUCACCAGUUCUCUUCAAUUUCCUAACCGUAUGCUUCGAUUGAACUUUUUCUUCCCUCAAUUAAAACGAACCCUAACUGUAGGGUGAAAGAGAAACGGUAAUUAAAUGUGUUCUAAUUCCACGUAAUAAGACAUGUCAUCUCUAAUUAAAUGUGGUAACCGGUAAAACAGGUGAUAACCGGUAUCAAGGGUUUUGGUGAACAGGGAUUAUAAGUUCAAUGGUAUAAUAAAGACAAAAAAAAGAUAAGGGACCUAAUGAAUACAUGACGAAUACUUUAUUACCCUCAAAGGUCAUUUUCCCUUUNAAUAUAUUUUACGUAUUUAUUUGAAUCAACGAUUAUAAUUUUAUAUAUAACUAAAAAAAUAUAUUUUAAUUAAUAAGUUAUUUAAAAUUAUUAAUUAAUAAUUUUGAGUUUUUACUUAGAAAGUUUAAUUAAUUUUUUAACCGUGGUUCCCACGGGUUAUAAACUAGUAAUAUAUGAUAACACCUUUCAUUUAUUUAUUUAUUUUAUGUUUUUAAUUUCUAUUUUGUUUUAUUAUUAUUUUUUUAAAUUUAUGUCAUAAUAUUUUAAAAAACAUAUAACAUAAUAAAACAUAAUUCAAUUACCUACUAAAUUAAACAUAUCAUUUUAAAACCAAAAACAAUAUUACAAAGCAAAGAAAAAAAAAAUAUUGACCGAAAACAUACAAUAGACCUAAUAAUUUGGAAAACAUAAAACUGAUAUAUUAUUCUUCGGCUAAAUAUUUCCGCUCGAUAUUCGCCUUCAUUUUUGGAACACCUCCGCCCAUUUCAGUGACACAUUCUCCUCGCUAGUUUGAAAAUUUGUCAAAUCCUUCGCAAUGCGAUCUUCCUCGGCUUCACGACGAAGGAACUCCAGAUGCUCACGUUGCAACUCAUAUCUUUUACGUGCGAUUUCGUUGUGGUCAUCAAAUUUUUGUUUCAUUUCUGCUUGCUCUCGAAGUCUACUCUCGCUUUCCGCCACAUGUCGUUGAACCCGCCUCGCUUUGUCGCGAUCUAUCGGUCAUCGAGGCGGGGAGAUCUCUUCGAUGUCGUUGAAGACGUUCGGUAUCUCAUCCGUAUUUGCAUUGAGGUCAAUGUUCGUGCGUUCGUCCGAAACGUCAACCGAACCCGAGCCGCGAGACCACUUGGAUUGUUGUUCCGUAAAUGUGUCCGUUUUGUUCCAUUUUGGGUCUUCCUUGACAAUCUCCCAAAUCUUUUCUUGCUCGAAAAUGUGACCCGUGUCGACAUGAUAUUGUUCUUUCGUCGCUCUAUAAACGUCAAAAUCGGUCGCACCACUUUGCUUGUGUGAGGAAAGUUUGUUGUAGAUGGAAUUGAACUUUGUGCACUUCCUUCUUAUUUGAGUCCACUUGCUACUCAACAUAUCAUGAUUGCGAUAUUUUGCAUCAUUCUUCAAAAUGGUCCGAAAUUUUCCGAUCACAGCUUCCCAAAAAGCAACUAUUCUCAUAUCGUUUCCUUGAGUUGGAUUUUUUGAUGUCCCGCACCACUACACCGCUAACGCGUAUUCUUCCUCCGUAGUCCACCAUGUUGGAGGUUCAUCUUCGAUUGCUCCACCGCGACCACUUUCCCUUUUCUUCUUGCUCUCCCUUUGUUGGCCCCUUUUUUCGGCUCCCCCGCUUGUGUGUCGGGUAUCGUUUCUUGUGUGGGUGGUUGUGUGGUAUUUUGUUGUAUUGUAGUGAAUAUGUUGACAAUGUUUUGUGGAACUGUUGUAGGGAAUUGUAGUGGGAUGAGGCGAAAUUGAAAAAGUUGUCUUGAGUGUUGAGGAUGUUCGAUCAGACACUGUGAUAUUAUGAUUUCAUAGGCUUGAAUCUUAGAUCUAUCUCUUUUGUAAAACGGGAUCUAGGUAAGAACAACUAUGCUUUUGCAUUUUUUACUGUAUUGUCUUUUGAUUUUGAUUUUUCUCCAUUAGAUUCAACUGAACUCAAGCAUUGUUUUGUGGUUCUUAUUAGUUAUCUCAGGUUACUAAUCUAUACAAUUCUAUGGGCUUUAUUUGUGUCUUUUAUUGGGUUUUCCAUAUUCACAUAUCUGUACCGAAAAUCAUGUUGAGAGAACAAAGAUUCCUCAUGGCUAAUGUAGUUUGUUUUGUUUUACUACACGAAAAAUCCAAAGAAAAAAAUAUGCGUGCUACUAUUCUCUUAUAUUUCCUAAUAUUUUCCAACCAUUAUGAAGUUCGUUUUGUUUUUACUACAGUUUCAAUUCGGGUGAAUGGUUUUCUUAGAUGUUGCUUAGGCAUUGAUUCACUUUUAUUUAUGUUAUAUUUGUAUAUGAAGCAGUUUUGUUCAUCUGUUCCAGAUUCUUACUGUUGGUUUCAAUAGACUAGACUUGGAGCUAUGUUCUAAAGGUAUGUAGGUUUGACUGACCUGUUUCUCAAUUGAGUUCGUAUAUGCUUCUCUAGAAACUGAUUGGUUGUUGAUUUUGAAUAUCAUCAGUACAUCCUGUAAUCAAUGAGUUUCUUUCAUUUUAACACAUGUUUUAAUUAUGGUUAGUGAUGCUGGAGAAAUAUGUUAAGGAUUUUUCGAUACAUAGUCUGCAGGCAAAGGCAUCUACAUGGUAAUGUAUCUUUGUAAAUUUAUUUUUGUAACCUGAUGAACCCCCAUACACUUUUCUAUUGUGGCUACCCUUUGAAGUCGAGGCCUUUUUAUGAAUAUCGCUUGGGGAUAUAAGUUCUUUUUUAAUUGCUUCUUUGAUUUUAUGUCAUAAAAACUUGAUUCUCAUGCUAUAAUCCUUUACUAGCUAAUUGCUUCACUUUCCAUAUGUUUUUUUUUGUUUUCAUUUUGUUUUUUUUUGGGUUCUUUUGUGUAAUCCAGGUCGUCCAGUAGAGUGCUUUGGUAUUUUAAUGAAAGACGGGUUGAGAAAUUCAUGAUAUAAAGUUUUUCUGAAUUCAUUUGUGAUAUGUAAAUGACUCUAGAUAUUAGGGAUUUUAAUUUUGACUCGGAGAUAAAGGCUAUUUGUUAAGAAAAGUGCUACUGGUUCUUAUCAUUUUCUCUGUAACAUAACCUGUAGAGGAACCAUGAUCCAUGCAGAUUCAUCUAAAUCAAAUUAGACUGGACCUUUUUUUUUAAUUGUGAAUGUUUAUUUCGAAUAGGUUCUUCAUUUUGAAAUAUUUUAGUGUUAUGAACAUAUAGACUUAUUUGUCUGGUUUAAGAAGCCUUAAUUUACUUUUUUUCUUUUUCUUUGGCAGAUGGUUGUUGCUAACGAGCUGUUAGAAACAAAUUACAGAAAUGUGUUAAUGAGGCGGAAGUAACACUAUCUGUUUAGUCUGGAAUGAUAUUUUACAACUUUUGGAUGACUAAGGUAUAAUCGUCCAAAAUAGGAAUGGUAAGCACCUAGAACAGGAGGUUAAUGCUGCCUUUUAGAACUUUGAUCAAUUGUUUAAUCCUCAAAAUAUAACAAAACAUGUAUAAGUUUUGUUAAGUAUUUUUUAAUGCCUUACCCAUGCAUUGAUAAUGUGAUCACGUUGGAACUGCAUUCAUUGGAUUGUAUUCUAAGUUUUUUUUUCAUUGGUACAAUCUAUUGCUAACAUAUCACUCUAUAUGGCAAUGUACACACCUGGUUUCUGCUUAUGCUUCCUAUUUUUCUUAGAAGGUUUGCACUUCCAAAUUUCGAUGUCAUAAAUGGUUGCAUAGUGAAAGUGCAUUGUUAUUACUAGAUGCUAAUCAACUAUACGUUACUGUUUGUAAAAUAUUCACUGUAGUUUUGGUUCGGGUAUUUUUGUCCCUGCUGUUAUUUAUGACUCCCUUCACAAUGGAAAAAAGUAUUCUCAUUUAUGACUGGUUCGGAUAAAUGCCUUGCUUUUUCAAGUUGACUGAUAGAACCAAUUUAAGCUAUAUAACUGAAAAAAUCGGGUUGUUUAGGCAAAAAAAAAGUUAUAUAUCAGGGGCUGUUUGGUAUUAUUUUUAAAUUGAGGGACUGUUUUUGGUAAAAAAAACAUGUGUUUGGGUGUCCCAAUGAAUGCAAUAAAAGCAUAUUUUUGUAGGCCACUAAAUUCAAUUGUAAACUAAAAUGAUUUUUUUUUUGCUUUUUUCAUAUUAUGAGCACAAUUAAUAUAAUUAUAUAGUAGUUUCAUAUUCUAUGAUGGGAAGUUGGAAAAACUAAAGCUACAUAAUUCAAUAAAAAAUGUUUCAGCUUUAAACUUACGAUGCCAAAGAUACUGUUAGUAAUAUUUAUCAAUUUCGUUGCAUGAACUAAUCUCCAUAAACGAAUUAAAAUGACACUUGCAAUACUUUAUGGGUCAUUUUACACAUUUGAACAGUAGGCAUCGACAUUUAAUGUAACUGUUGGAACCGGAACGAAAAACAUAAUUGUUUAUUACCCGAUUCUGGGUUUUUACAACCGAAUAUGCCCAAAAUUGUUGGAACUGGAUCGAAAAGCCCGAAAACUGAUUAACCCCAAUUCACAAAACCAUAUAUCGAACCACAACAACUUAUUCAUUCCUAACCAAUUUUAGUCCAGUUUUUCGGGAAAAGUGUUCAUCUUUACCUGCGACCCACCUAGGUAUAUGCUAGAAUUGUCUAUGCAUGUAGGCAUGUUAACCAAUCUAGAACUAGAGCGGUACGAUACUGGAAUAAAAAAAACUAAAAACCGAAUAAACCAUAAACUAAGAACUGAAAACGGAAUUAUGUACCUUACUAAUACGUCACCCAAAAACUAUUUGUUCGGAAACUAUUCACUGCUUACAAACAAUUUGACGAAAGGAAUUAGGUACCGCUGCAUCGCGCGGGUACACUACUAGUAUAUUAUAAAACAUAUUAGUCGUAUCUUGAAUUUCAAAAUUUAUAAGUUCAAAAACUUUUUGUACAAAUCAAUUAUGCAUAAUUAUCAUUAAUACUUGCUAAAAGUUUGAAUACUUGAAUUAAUUAAUUAAGGAAGGUUAUUAAUAAAUUUAAUUUGGAGCAAAAUGAUAAUUUUAAAGUAUUAAAUUCAUAUAUAUAUAAAUUAAUUUAAAUUUCUAAAACUAAACACGAUAUUACUUAAUUUACAUUAAAUGUAUAAACAUGCAAUAUAAGUAUAAGGUCUAAACAUAAAUAUUUUAUUUAAAAUGAUAAUUUUUUUUACAUAAUAACUAAUAAUAAAAUUUAAUAAUUAUUUCCAUNNNNNNNNNNNNNNNNNNNNNNNNNNNNNNNNNNNNNNNNNNNNNNNNNNNNNNNNNNNNNNNNNNNNNNNNNNNNNNNNNNNNNNNNNNNNNNNUAUAUAUAUAUAAUGUUAUUAUUUUGUCAUUAAUAUUGUAUCCACAACUUUAUGUCAUUAUUCAACAAUGAAAAAUGAAUAGUCAUAUGUUAAAAUCAAAAUUAAAAUUUACUAUAAAAAUGCACAUAUAUAAACUUUUUAAAAUAGCCAUUGCAUAGUUUACGAAUUAUGCUUAGUAGAGACCUAAACCGAGGAAUGGUUUAGAGUCAGACCACGCCUUAUGACAAAAGGGGAGAAAGGACUGUCGAUCUGUGAUCAAAGAAAACUAUACCUGAAGAAUGGGAUACAGAUUGACCGGCACAAAAGCCAUCCUAUAUUUAUCUAUAUGAAAAAGAAAUCAUGUAACGAAGUGGAUUAUUAUUUGUACAAUUGGUACUUCGAACUUAGAUCUAGCAUGAAGAAAUUAACGAUACUUCUUUAUCUUUUGAGUUGUUCUGCCGGAUCGGUCACUCAAGAUCAAUGGUCUCUACCCGUACCCGAUGAAAAAAAUGGGAUCACUCAUUAUGGACUCGUUGAGAAUGAUUAUGGUCUAGUUCAUGGCCUAUUAGAAGUGGAAGGCACUCUGGUGGGAUCCUCAUGGACAUGCAAUCAGUUUGAUAAGGAUCGAGUGACAUUGCUUCUUCGAUCCGAACCAAGGAAUCCCUUAGAUAUGAUACAAAAUGGAUCUUGUUCUAUCCUUGAUCAGAGAUUUCUCUAUGAAAAAACGAAUCGGAGUUUGAAGAGGGGGACGACCGACAACAGAUAGAGGAGGAUUUAUUCGAUCACAUAGUUUGGGCUCCUAGAAUAUUGCGCCCUUGGGGCUUUCUAUUGGAUUGUAUCGAAAGACCCAAUGAAUUGGGAUUUCCCUAUUGGUUCAGGUCAUUUCGAGGCAAGCGAAUCGUUUAUGAUGAAGAGGAUGAGCUUCAAGAGAAUGAUCCAGAGUUCUUGUAGAGUGGAACCGUGCAGUACCAGACACGAGAUAUAUCUUCCAAAGAACAAUAAUAGAAUAAUAACAUUCUAAUGAAUAUAAGAAUAAUCAAACGUGAAUAUUCACAAUAGAAUUACUUCAACAAGACACAUAUACAACAUUUAUUGCUGAAUAAUAACAUAAACAUAGUGUUUUUACGUUUUCACACUAUUUACAUUUUUUAUUUGAACUUACUUUUCUCUCUCUCUCUCUCACUUUCUCUCUCUCUCUCUCUAUAUAUAUAUAUAUAUAUAUANNNNNNNNNNNNNNNNNNNNNNNNNNNNNNNNNNNNNNNNNNNNNNNNNNNNNNNNNNNNNNNNNNNNNNNNNNNNNNNNNNNNNNNNNNNNNNNNNNNNNNNNNNNNNNNNNNNNNNNNNNNNNNNNNUCGUUGCGCGACAUAGGUUAAAAAUAUAUUGUUAUAAUAUUGAAAUAUAUAUAUUCUCAACUAUUUUGAACAAUAAUAUUUAUUGACAUCAAUCGACCUUCCUCAUUAAUAGAAUUAAAUAUAAUUAUGUAUUUAGUAUUAUUUUUAACAAUUGUUAUAAUUGAUUAAUUUGUAUUUUUUACUUAUGCAAUUAUUUACUAAUUUUUUUAAUGACGUUCAUUUAAAAUACAAUUAUUUGUAGCUAACAUUAUGUAAUUUAUAAUUUGACGUAUUUAUCAUUUAAAAUUAUUGUUCAUUAAUUUUAAACCACUUAUUAUUAUUAUUAUUAUUAUUAUUAUUAUUAUUAUUAUUAAGUUAAAGAAGACUUUUAAGAAACACUUUAUAUUAUUCUUCAAAUAUGAAACAUAUACUAAAUAAUAAAGUGAUAAGAUUGACAAUUUGCAUUUCAAAAGAGAUUUACAUGGAUAACAUGACAUAUCCAUGAUUUUUAUAAUUUGAUUUAUUACUUAUAACUAUUGUUCAUUAAUUUUAAAACCACUUAUUAUUAUUAAUAAGUGAAAGAAAACUUUUAAAAAACACUUAUUAUCAUACUUCAAUUGUUAAAUAUAUACUAAAAUAUAAAGUGAUAAGAUAAAUAAUUUGCAUUUUAAAAGAGACUUACAUGGAUAAUAUGGAUAAUAGGACAUAUACAUGAUUUUUAAUUAAGUAUUGCUUUGAAGCAACACAAACAUACAUACAUAUAUACAAUAUUAAAUUAAAUAUUAUCUAUAUCACAUUCCAUCACAUAUGAUCGAUAACAUAAAUCCAGUCUAAUUUACAAUAAAAUUUCAACCACAACAUACAAUGAUCGUCUUAAAAGAAUACUAAACCAAAAAAAUUAAAUAAAAUAAUAAUUAGUAUAUAACAAACUUACAAAUUAAAAACUUUAACAUAAUAACAUGGCUUGAAAAAUGGUAUAAAGCCCUCAAACCAACACAAACACCUUUAAACUUAUUUUCUGUGUGAAUUUCGUAUGUGAUUGGUAUUUGUGUGUCUACUCAAAUAGAUUAGCCUUUUAUAGUAUACUAUCCAUUAACUAUGAAAUAAUAAUUAUUACAUUUGGUUGUUGUAAAUGAAUGUGGUGAAAGGAAAAAUGCUUCCUUUAUAUAUAUAUAUAUAUAUAUAUANNNNNNNNNNNNNNNNNNNNNNNNNNNNNNNNNNNNNNNNNNNUAUAUAUAUAUAUAUAUAUAUAGAGAGAGAGAGAGAGAGAGAGAGAGGUUCAAAUGUGGAUUGACAUUUAUUGUACGGACGUGUGGAUAGUGUUAUUCUGUGAGAAUGACAAAGAAAAUAUGAUGUUUGAUGAUAUAUAUACGUUCAAUCUUACAUAACUAUUGUCAUUAACACACAUUUUCACUAAUUAAAUCAUCUAUAAAGUUAUUAUAGACUUUUUAUUAUUAUUCUGAUUAUAUCAGAAUGUUGUGAAAAUGUUUAUUGAGUCGUAUUCUGUUAGAAUGAAAGUGAGUGAAAAAUGAUGUGUGAGAACAAAAAUGAAUAAGAAUUAGUGAGAAUGCAUGAAAAUGAUAAUAUUUAUGUAAGGUUGGACGUAUUCGCAUUAGUAAACAACUUAUUCUCUUAGUAAUUUUCAUAGAAUAGCACUGUCCACACGUCCGCACAAUAAUUGUCCAUCCACAUUAUAACUUAUAAACUUUUUGUUAUUAUUCUCAUUCUAUCAAAUUGUUUAUUGAGUCGUAUUCUGUAAGAAUGAAAAUGAGGGAAAAACGAUGUGUAGGAACAAAAAUGAAUAAGAAUUAGUGAGAAUGCAUGAAAAUGACGAUAGUUAUAUAAGAUUGAAUGUAGUCAAAUUAUUAAACAACCUAUUCUCUUAGUAAUUGUCAUAGAAUAUCAUUGUCCACACGUCCGCACAAUAGUUGUCCAUCCACAUUAUAACCUAGGCGCGCGCACACACACACACACACUGUAGCACCUGGUUCUUGGUACGUAUUCUUUUAUUUAAUUCUUUGUGCAUUUUGCAUCUUGGCCUUAGACUUGGCGAGUCAGAGGAUCGACUUGCCGAGUAGAAGCGGGAAGGGGCACGGGGUUUACGUUGUGGACUCGCUGAGUCGGGUCCCGGACUCGGCGAGUAAGCUGCUGUUCGGACAAAAACCCUAAUCUAGGAGUGUGCACCCUAUUUAAACACUCUAACUCGGCCUCCCUUGCCCCUAAAACUUCCAGAAGAGCUGUAGAGCGAAACCCUAGCCCCCAUAUUGUUCUUGUGAGUGAUUUUGGCUUUGUGAAGGAAGUUUGGAGCUUAGAAGAAGAAGGUGAAGGUUGAAGGGUGCAAGGAGGGGAAGUAGAUACGAAAUCUACUCUGUGGAAGGCUUCCAUUCAGGUAGAAAAGUUCCUACCUUGAUCUCUAGUUCAUUAGAUCCCUUUUUGUCCCUAGUUUGUGGUUUUUAAGCCCUAAAACCUCAAACUCUAUGUGUUUAUGCUCUAUGAUCCGAAAGGACUUCAGAUUUAGACCUUAUGGACGUAUUAGAAGUAUAAAGCCUCUGUGGUUGAAGUGAUUGAGGUUCCUAUUGAGUAUAUGACCUUAUAAAGAGCUUGGAUUUGCCUUUUGGAGCUUAUAGGUCCAUGCAUGCACGUAAAGUUUGCAACUUUACGUGAUAAGCAUGCCCUAGGAACAUAGAUCUAUUGUUUGGAAGUGUUGCAUGUCUCAGAUUUGGCCUAUAUGGGAAAUGGGUCGAAGGGACUCGACGAGUCCCAAAGUGGAACUCGGCGAGUUCUAUGAAGAUGACAUUAGACUUGGCAAGUUGGAUAAACAACUCGGCGAGUCCUAUGAAGAUUUCCUGGAACUCGAAGAGUUGUUCUUCAAACUCGACGAGUCAUAUGAACAGUUACUGAGUUGAGAGGGGUUUAAGUGUAGAAGGUCCAACCCUUCGUCACUACUCGCGGAAUUAGCAAAUUAACGUGUAGAAAUAGUCCUAGAAACCCAAAUCCUCAUAAAGAAUGCCCUGGUGAGGAUUUGGAAGCGAGUAGGAGAUCUGCUCAUGGGACUCGGCGAGUUGUUCUUCAAACUUGGCGAGUCGGAUGAGUUUCCUUGUGGCUUUCGAAUGGGAGAAGAACUCGUCAAGUUGUCGGCCCAACUCGACGAGUAGAGUUGCGGAUGGGGAUGAGUAGAGAGUGAGGGACUCGACGAGUUGAUGGCCCAACUCGGCGAGUCGGGUCAACUGGAAGUUGACUUUGACUUUGACUUGACUUGGUUGAGGGUAAAAUGGUCAUUUUACCCUAAGUAUAGAGAUCCGUUUCUAACUGAGUGUUUGUGGGGUUCGUAGCCGGAGGAUUUCUGGAGCAGUAGCGGACGGAGGUUUCUUGCACUAAUUAUCAGCAGCUACUUGUAUGAGGUGAUUUACCUUCCAGUAGGGGUGGGUCUAAGGCCACAAUGCCGGCCCACCAUUGAGGAGUAUUUAGAAGGUAAUUGUCUUUGUGAUAAUUUAUCUUGGUCUGGUAUGCGUUUGGUUAUGAGUUAUAUCUGUAUGAUAUGUUACAUGAUAGGGAUAGUUUCCCUGAUAGUGGUCCUUAGGACCAAGGGGUAGGUCAGUACCCGAAUAUGCCUGACUGUGUGCUUAUAUCUUGCUAUUGUAUGCUAGUGGUAGGGGGUGGAAUAGUCCCCAGUUUCCGGUUGAAAGAUACCGAUGACGAUUACCGGUUAAAAGAUACCGAUGGUAUUGUAUGGUAUGUGGUAUGAUGGGGGAACUCACUAAGCUUUGUGCUUACGGUUUCAGUUUUUGGUUUCAGGUACCUCUUCAUCUAAGGGGAAGGAGCCGGCGGCGUAGCAUUGCACUACACACACAUUUGAUUUUCCGCACGGUGUUUUCUGGGAUUGUACUCUGAUAUGUUAUUUGCUUGUGUUGUGGGUUUGAAACAUGAUACUUGAUUUUAUGAGAUGACGUGUUGAUUGAAUAUUUUCUAGUGAAUGUUUUAUGAACAACUUAAUUAAAAAAUGAAACUUUUGAACUUGAAUUCUGGGACGUUACACACACACACAGAUAUAUAUAUAUAUAUAUAUAUAUAUAUAUAUAUAUAUGUAUAUAUAAGUAUNUAUAUUAUAUUAUAAAACAUAUUAGUUGUAUCUUGAAUUUUAAAAGAUAUAAGUUACAGAGUUUUUGUACAAAUCAAUUAUAUAUAAAUAAUUCAUUAAUAAUUGUUAAAAGUUUGAAGACUUGAAUUAAGGAAAGUAAUCAAGAAAUUCAAUUUGAAGUAAAUAAAGAUUAUAAAUAUUAAAUUCAUGUGUAUAAAUUAAUUUAUGUUCUUAAAUAAACACCAAUAUUAAUUAAUUUAUAUUAAUAGUAUAAACAAGCAAUAUAAACAUAAAUAUUUUAUAUAAAAGUUGUAAAUUUUUAUUACAUAAUAACUAAUAAUAAAAUCUAAUAAUUAUUUUUCCUGAAAAAAUUAUUCAACAAAAAAGCUACUUAUCACAUCCCUUUUGCGUGGGCACUCAUCAAGUGUGUGUGUGUGUGUGUGUAUAUAUUUUCAAUUUAUUACCAUUGAGAAUCUCAAUCCAAAUUAAUCUGUUUCUAGUCGUUACCACACUAAUGCCUCAUAACAUAACACCUGUCGGGGGCGGUGUAGCUGGCAUUAUACUGACGUUUUUUGAGCGCCAUGGCGUAUUACCAUUGAGAAUCUCUAUCCAAAUUAAUCCGUUUCAAAUACGAUUUUUGAAUCAACUGAUCUCUAUAAGUUUAAUAAGUUAUCUAUUGAAAAUAUAGUUGGAAGCAAGUUCAUAUUCCUUUGAAAUAACAAGAUAAUACAUUAAUUGUUAGUGUAUCUCACAUUUAGGGCUACACAGUCCUACAAGUGUCUAUAUAUAUAUNNNNNNNNNNNNNNNNNNNNNNNNNNNNNNNNNNNNNNNNNNNNNNNNNNNNNNNNNNNNNNNNNNNNNNNNNNNNNNNNNNNNNNNNNNNNNNNNNNNNNNNNNNNNNNNNNNNNNNNNNNNNNNNNNNNNNNNNNNNNAGAGCUAGGUUCAAAUGUGGAUUGACAUCUAUUAUGCGGACGUAUGGACGGUACUAUUCUGUGAGAAUGACAAAAAAAAUAUGUUGUUUGAUAAUAUGAAUACGUUCAAUCUUACAUAACUAUUGUCAUCAUCACACAUUCUCAUUAAUUAAAUCGUCUAUAAGGUUAUUAUAGACUUUUUAUUAUUAUUCUCAUUCUGUCAGAAUGUUUAUUGAGUCGUAUUCUAUAAGAAUGAAAAUGAGUGAAAAACGAUGUAUGAGAACAAAAAUGAAUAAGAACUGGUGAAAAUGCAUGAAAAUGCUGAUAGUUGUCUGAGGUUGAACGUAUUCAUAUUACUAAACAACUUAUUCUUUUAGUAAUUAUCAUAGAAUAACAUUGUCNUCAAAAAAUCACAAUUUUUAUGUCAAAAUCGCUGAAAAAAAUUUUGAAAAAAAAAUUAUUUUACAAAAAAAAAUUGUUUUUUUUAUUUUUUUUCAGCGAAAUUGUAAAAAAUGCUGCGAUUUUCUGAUAAAAAAUUCAAAAAAAGGUUUCGUGAUGUCUUGGUAUUUUUUUAUAUAUUUUAAUGAUUUUUAGGGUUUUCUAAGAGUUUUUUUUGUUUUCCAUUAGGGUUUAUGGAAAACAAAAACCCAAAAAAAACUCUAAAAGUCAUAAAAAUGCAUGAAAAAAUACUUAGAGAUCAUAGAUUUUUUUUCCGACUUUAUAUUUUUAAAAAUCGCAACUUUUUAUAUAAUUUCGUUGAAUUUUUUUUUGAAAAAAAAAACCAAAAAAUAGAAAAAUAAUAAAAAAAAUAAAAAAUAAUUAUAAAAAAUAUAAAAAAAUCGAUUUUUUAAUUUUUUUUUCCAGCGAAUUUAUAAAAAACUUGCGAUUUUUAAGAAUAUAAAGUCAUAAAAAAGAUUUGUGAUCUCUAAGUAUUUUUUAUGAUUUUUAGGAUUUUUUUGAGUUUUUUUUUUUUUUUUUACUUCACACAUCCUUUGUCUAGUUGUCUGGCCUCUUCAAGUCUAUGUAUUUAAUGGGGGGGGUGGGGGGUAUAUCUCAUAAUAGAAAAUGAAGAUGAUGAUGAGGACCCUACAACCCUUCAAAUAUUUAUUUAAAUAAUUAAAUUAUAAAAAAUGGUAAGGGCACUACAAGCCUUUUUUUGUGUCGAGGGGAUGAAAUGGGCAGAUUGCCCCAAACUAGAGAGAUGAUUUGUGUAAUUUAUCAAAUAUUUAAUGACGUGGGUGGAGAAAUGUAAGCUUAAUGAUAUAUGUGGUUUUUAAAAUGUAUUAGAUACUUACAUGUAAAAUGACAAAAAAAGACAUGUUUAGGGUAAAUGAGGGGUAUAUUGGUAAUUUAAUAUUUUUAGCUGGUGAAAAGUUGGGAAAAAUUAGCUAAUCGUGACUUUUCAAAAAGACUCAAAUUACUCUAUGGGAAAAGUCAUUUACAAAAGUCCUUUUCCUUUUACCAAACAUCUUUUGGGACUUUUUCUAAAAGAUAAAAUCAAAAGUCAUUUAAAAAGCUAAGCCAAACACCCUCUCAAUAUUGUAAGCUCAAUUCUGCUACGAAUUCGUUGAUGUUCUUGUCUGAGCUUCCACCUUCUUCGAUAGCCUCUAUCGCUAAAUCCCUCCAUUUGGUUGUGUUUUUCCUGAUCUCGAUGCUUUUCUCUCCUUCCAUGACUUGCCUUAUGCACGCAUCCAACACUCGUCUGGUCACAAUCCCAUUAACAUCUUGCUUAGCCCGAACUCCCACACCCCAAACAUCCUCCACAUACUUGGCAUUUGUGGUCUGAUCGGACCAUUGUGGCAUUGCAACCAUCGGCACACCCAAACCAAUGGCUUCAAGAACGGAGUUGAGCCCACAAUGUGUAACAAAGCAUCCUAUUGACUCAUGAGCCAAUACUUCCAAUUGAGGACACCAUGCCACGACUAACCCUUUCUUUGACAUGCCAUCGACAAACUCUUGGGGGAUAUUGUCCUCUAAAGAAGACUUAACCACCCACAAGAAGCUAAAACCACCAUCACUCAAACUACAUGUUAUUUCUUUCAUUUGCUCAGAUCCAGGCUGCAUCAAGCUCCCAAAUGAUAAGUAAACAACCGAUCUUUUUGGCUUGUUGUUUAGCCAGUUCAUGCAUUCAACCCGUUUUGGUUUGAACACAUUCACUCCAUACUCUCGAUCAUCUAACAAUCGUUUGUCAAGGUACAUUGAUGGAAGCGUUGGGCCUAUCGUCCUUACACGCCACAACUUCCCCAUCCAAUUGACCACCUAUAUAUGCAUGUUACAAUCAAGGAAUUACGAUUUUGAGUAUCAGAUAAAUCCUUUAUGAUCAGUAAAUAGUUUCAAGAAAAAUCACAACCUCUUCCUCCAAUUUGUAAAAUGAGUUGAUCAACACCCAGUCUGCUUGAUCAAUGUUGGUAAAUUGACCAAAAACUAGAUCAGAAACAGCAGGAAACAAGUCAAAUUUGUGCACGAAUGAAGGAGUUUCCCAGUUUUCAAGCGGUGGUAAUCCAGGAAGUGAGACUAAUGAAUCCGAAUCCGACAAUGGGAUUUGAAGAAGGCUUCUGUUGACAUGAUAGUAAAUAUUAUUGACAGCACAAGUUUGAGUGAAGAAGACGACUCCCAUGAUCUUGAAUUGCUUAGAAACAUCAAGAGCCCAAGGCAAAAACCCAUCAUAAACAAUGGCGUUGACACCCCCUAGUUUUUUAACAAGAUCCGAUAGGGACUUUGGGCCUACUUCACGAAGCUUUGGGAAGUAAACAUCUGGGGACACAAAUUGAUCAGGGCAAUUGUCAUCAAACCCAUCAGAGAAUGUUUCGAAGGUGAUGAGGGUGGUGUUAAGGUCGAUAUGGACAUUUUUGGAGAAGGAAAAUGUUGUUGCAAAUGUUGUUUUGAUGCCUUUGGCGACCAAGCGUUUGCAGAAUUGGAUCAUGGGGUUAACGUGGCCUUGAGCAGGGUAUGAGAGCACCAGAACGUGAGGCUGUUUUCGUGUUGAACUCAUUGUGUUAGCGUCGAAGCUAAAUGCUUGGUUGAAACGUGUCUAAAAUAAGAUAGAGGUCUUGCAUUUGAAUCAUAUGGUUAUAUAUCGACUAAUUCAUUACCAAACUGAUCCCAAAUAUGCUAAAUGCCAUAACAAGCAUGGGAAAAUAUGAUUUUAUUAAUAUGUAUCUACAGACGAUCAAUAUUUAAUAUGAAUGAAACAUACCGUUUAUCUUGUAAGCACGAUUAGAACGAUGUAUCAUUGUUUGGUUUGGUGAGCAUUUAAAAUAGUAAAUUCCGCCAUGAUUUUUAUAGUUAUAUCCAUCCAUACAUUUGACGUUUUAAUAAACAUUAUUUUUAAUAUUUUAUUUUAGGAUAUUAUUAUCUUUAAUGAAUGUGUAACUUUACACCACCAACUUUUUUUUUUCUAUAAGUGUUGAUUUUUUAACAUCAUUUUUUUUCCUAACUUCAACCUUAUAUUAAUCGGUUUUGAUUCAAAAGUGCAUCUUUAUAUUUACACACCAAUACAGCUUCUAGCUUAAACAGAGUCUAUAAAAGUUUUACACUAAUAAAAACAUACCUAAAAUACAAUUUAAUCAGAUUAAAUAAAAAACACUUGUGAUCACUAAUAAAAAGUUGACACUUGAUUUUCUAUCAUAGGUCAAACUCAAAACGGACACCAUAAUCUGUAAACAUAUGUAUCUAUAUAUAUUUCAACAACAACAAACUAACUAACAAAUUAAUUACAUAUAAACCAUACCUUAUCUUCAAAACUCCUUCUGUACACCACCAGCAACAAUAAGUUCAAUAUGACCACCAUCACCACUAUCACUCGGCAUCAUCAACACCUCAUCAUCCGCUGAAAAAUUAUACCGAGCACCAAUCGCCCGUAACAACUGAUACACUUCAAACAUCGAGGGCCUCUCCUUAUGAGCCUGGACCACACAAUUACACGCAACUUUCAAAAACUGAAAGACCUCACUUUCAUUUCUUUUUUCAACCAACGACUUAUCAAUUGAGUCUUGAAGUCUCCCUUCAGACGACAACUCAAUAACCCAUUCAGCCAAACUCCCCUUAAAAGUUUCCGGAGCUUUACUGAUAUGUGUCGGUCUUUCACCAGUCACCAAUUCCAAAAGGACAACCCCAAAACUAUACACAUCGCCUUUUGGGGUGGCCACAAGGGUACGCGCGUAUUCGGGGGCCACGUAUCCCAAAUCGCCGAAUUCCCCGUUUACAAAAGUACUCAAAUGCGUGUCUACUGGAUUCAUGAGCCUUGCGAGCCCAAAAUCAGAGAUUCUGGGCUCGAGGUCGGAAUCCAGUAGAAUGCAUUUUGAACUUAUGUUACGGUGAAGGAUACGCGGGUUGCAGUUAUGGUGGAGCCAUGCUAACCCUUUGGCUAUUCCGAUUCCGAUUUUUAGCCUCGAAGGCCAAUCGAGGGGUUUUGUGUCAUUUUCCAAUAAUAGAUGGAGUUUGUCGUGGAGGUUACCGUUUGCCAUGUAUUUGUAGACUAAAAGGCGUUCUUUUUUUGCGACACAAAACCCUAACAGCGGGACUAAGUUUCGGUGUUUGACUUUUCCAAGGGUUGACAUUUCGGAUGCGAAUUCCUUCUCGGAAUGUUGAGUGUCUUGUAAUCUUUUGAUCAUAAGUAAACUGCCAUCUUCGAAUUCUGCUUUGUAUAAACACCCGGUUCUUCCUGACCCGAUGAUAUUAUCUUUGCUGAAACUGUUUGUGGCUUUCAUUAGAUCGCUCAAUCGCAUCUUGGAAACCGGGUUUUCAAACAUGGAAAGCUGCAAUGACAUUAAAAACUGUCAGAUUGAUUCACCAAACAUGACAGAAUAGAGAUAAAAAGGAUUAAAAUUAUAAUCUUACCUUGAUGGUUUUAGCUCCUUUAAUACUCUUGGCCCAUUUAUUUCCAUCUGGAUCAUCAUCUUUCCUUUUCCUAACAACCUUACGCAUAAAGAACAACAUUCCAAAAACUAGAAUUAACGCAGCAAUAGUGGCCCCACCAACAGCGGCCCCCACAAUGACACCCGUAUUGGAUUUUUUAACAGUUCCUGGACAAGGGGACAAAACAGGACCCCCACAUAACCCUGGAUUACCCGCGUAGCUUGCUUCUGUACCAUUUUGGAAAUAUGGAACUUGACCAGAUAAUUGAUUGUUAACAACACUAAACUCUUUGAGGCGAUUAAGGUUACGUAAUUCUAAAGGAAUCUGACCCGAAAACCGGUUGUUACCGAGUCUGAGAACAUUAAGAUAGGAACAGUUUGCAAAGCUUGCAGGGAUUUCCCCCGAGAAAUUGUUUGAAGACAGAUCAAGAGUUGUCAAAAACCCUAGAAUUUUUGUCAUGUUGGUUGGGAGAUUUCCAAAAAAUUUGUUGCUAGAAAGAUCUAAUCCUGUCAUGGAGGUACAAUUCUGGAGUGCAAGAGGUAAUGUGCCCUUGAGUCCCAUGUCUGGGAGUUUUAUAUUUAGAACCUUGUUUUCAUCAGGAUGCCAGCAUUCGAUGCCUGCAAACUUGCAGAUGUAUCCUUCGGUAUUGUUAUUAAAAUCCCAUGAAAUUAAGAUGUUUUCUGGAUCUUCAAUUGAAGCUUUAAAGGCUUUAAGGCAAUCAAUAUCACUCUGGACAGCAUUGGUACAUGUGACACACAAAAGAAUAAAGACACAAGUGGUAAUUAUUGGUAUGUUACUUGGUGCCAUUGAAGAUUUUAAGUGUGGCACAUAUCAAACUUUAGUAAUACCCAAGAAAACCUUUUUUUUUUCCAAGAACCAAACCUGCAAAAGAUAGCAAAACAAACAAGCCGUAUUCAGUGAUAUGUGUAGAUGGUAUGACAUGUUUAUGUCAUAUAGUAUCGAGUUAACUCAUUUUUGUAAUCUGAAAACAAGCUACUGUCACCAAACAGUCAAAGAAUAAAACAACUUAUCUCAGAAUUCAGACACUGAGCAUGUUGGAUAUGAGUUUUAAAGUAAGUAUUGCGACCUAAAAAAUUAUAAUUAGCUAUUAAAGCAGCAUAUAGUAUUAUAGCUAGGGAUCGUUAUGAAAUCUUUUAUUCAGUUUUCUUGCUGAAACUCUCAUCUAAAGAGGGUUAUGGAUGUGGGAACUGAGAAUGAAUGAUUACGUGAAAUUGAAUAAUAAGGAUAAGAUAAUGACUAGAAGAUAAGAAUAUGAUAAUCAGCUCUAAUGUAACAGCCCCUAUCUCGAUAGUGUUUUAGGAAGUGUUUAUGUCAUUUAAGAUUGUAUAAAGAACUAAUAAAUAAAGUAACAAAAGGAAUUUCAUUGCCAAAAAGGACAGCGUUAUGGGAAGUGAUAAACAAGAGUCUCUGAACACUAAAACUUCCAAAAAUAGGCAACCAAACACCUAAUUCUGAUUAUUUUGACCCAAAUAAAGAUCAGAACUUGAACGCGCAUACAAACACCCAGUAAUUUUAUGUUCAAUUUAGAAUUCACGAAUUUCAGUUAUCCAAUUGAGAUAUUACAAACCCUAAUUGAAUAUUUCGUGGAUCCAAAUGAUUGAAUCAUAAAAUUCGGCAACAGUGAACAAAAUUAAGCAUCAGGUACUCCGAAAAUAAGAAACCCAGAAGCAAUUCCACCACUACAACAAAUAAUUUACGUAAAUUUGAAGUUAUACUACAACAAAAGGGAAUUCUGAAGAUGAAGAACGUACAGUGAAGGAGUGAGGAUCUUCAGGAGGAAGGUGCCGCUACGUAUACUGAUAAGAAAGAAGAAGAAAUUUUGAAUGGAUAUAAGAGAAAAUCGUUGGUAAUCUAGUCAAAGAACAAAAUUUCUAUAGCAGAUUCAUGCGACGACUGGACCGAAAGCUGCAGCCACUAAUAAAUAGAAUGAUUUGACUAGCAGUUCUUGACUGAGUAAAACGAAAGCCGUGUGAAGUCAUGACUUUUACGAAAGUUUUGUUGUUUUUUGUGUGGAAUUUGGACUUUGAAGAAAAUGAUAUUCCAGACCAUUUUUGUAUUUUAUAUGCACCCAAUUCACACUCACCCACACACUUUUUACUAUUUCCCCCUCUUUAUUUUUACGCGGUGAAUUAUUUUUAUGUAAGUGAUCUGAAAUAACUGUAAACUUAUUCAUAAAUCAUAGUAACAAUAGAUUUUAACUUUUAUAACUAUUCUAUAAGUAAUAUAUAAUCUCAAGCUUAUAAACUGUUAUCAUGUCAUCAUGAGCUUUAUAUUAUUGUCAGUACUGAACUUAAAGAAAAAAAAAGAAUCAUCCCCUCACCGUGUAUAUGCAGCCAAUAAUCUUUCUCUUUUUUCACUAAUACUCCCCUGACUAACCUGAUCUUCCUAGGGUGCAAACACUUAUUUCACAAGCGAAUUGUUUUUGAACCAUCAUGUUGCAUAUUUUCAUAGGUCAAACAUAUGAAUUCACCAACCUUUAGGCUUGGUUUUAGCAACAUAAAGUUCUAUUUAUUGUGAAAAUGAUCUUUGGAAAUUUUUUUUGUUUUCUUAACAAGAAAAAAACCCAUGACUUUUGUAAAAAUAUGAACAAUAUCGCAAUGAAUAGCAAUUUCAUAGGCCAGGCUUCCGAAAAAAAUAAUUUUAUUUUUCGAAAAUUGGACAUUUUCACAGGUCAAACAUGCGAUUACGAUUGAAAAAAAAAAAAAAAAAAAGACCCGAAACUCUGUUGUUUUGGUUAUUUCACAGAUUGGACCUAACAAUUUAUGAUUGGACCUAACUUAAUUUUCUCUAAAUCUCAAAAUAAUAAUAAUAAUAAUAAUAAUAAUAAUAAUACCUUUACUUAAAUUUGUCUUUUUCUCUAACAUCUAAUCAUUCACUUUAGAUCAUUUGAUAUUUUCUGAAUUACCGUACCAAAGAUCUCGAUUAACUAUCGACUAGUUAACAUAAAAGGGAGGAAUAUAUAAGGAUGAAAAUGAUUAUUACUCAAAAAGGACCAUUUUUGUAACCAAACACAGCUUUUUCAAUUGCACUGACAAGUAGCAAAUGUAUAAAGGGAGUGUGGGGUUUUGUCACUUUGUGACUUUGUCAGAAACCGUGUCGUUAUACAGUCUCCCCACUUUGGCCCUUCAUUUUGCCCUCUACAGUCUACAGUCUACAACUGGCUACUUCCCUGCAAAAACCUCAUUUUCCCACCCCAACAAAGAAUAGCUUUGAUCAAACUACGCAAUUCUUGUCGGUCCGUCUACCUCCAUCAACUUAUUCCUGUAAAGCAAUCAUACAUGUUAGAUCCAGACGUCCAAUUACUUUGCUAUUACUAGUUGAUGUUAAGGCCACUCGAAUUUGAUAUUUUGAUAAAUGAUAAUAUGGUUCGUAAUUAAUUGUUUUGUAUCCUGUGGUUUCCAUUGAUAGUGGCGAGUUUACAACAAAAAAUGAUAGGGAAGUGAAACCAGGAAAAAUGAAAUAAUUAAAAUUAAUAGUUGUGGGUUAGGUCAUGUAUACUAUUGUAAAACUCGGAUAAUUCGGCCGAGUACUCCAGAAAUUACUUGGGCUCGGCUUGCUACCAAGGCGAGUUUUUCCUACUUGACCAAAAGAAUCAGAAGUCUUUCAAACUCAAUACAACUCAUACCGAUUCAAUUUAAAACACAAUCCCUUUUUAGACUAAAGCAUGAUUAAACUAAUAAAAUCGGUUCAACAUGCAAAAAUAAUAUUAAAGAACUAAAACCAGUUUAAACUUGUAAUAAACCAAGUCUAAGAUUUAAAUCGUUAACAUUUUCCCUUAAACUCAAUUGAAUAAUGUUGGAGUGGGAGAUAGAAAACUUUAUUGCUUAAACAAUCCAUAAUAAACCUUCCCAUCACCCUUCCCUUUUAUAAGUAACAAAAAUCAUAUAACUUUUACUUUGAUUCCGAUGUGGGUUAGACAUAGAUAAAUUUAUAAAUCAACUAAUUGGGUCGUUAACACUGAUCACCCAUUUUGAUCAAACAUUAUAAGAUAGGUCCUAAAAAAUUUCAAGGUCGUUCCUAAAUUUUUUCCUAUAUAACUUAUUAUAAGGUUUGAAAAUUAAGGUGGGUCAAGUGACUUACCAACCAUCUAUGUAAACUCGCUUAUGUCCAUUGAUUAAUAUAUUUGUCGUUUGUAAUCGUGAUCACUGAUCAUAGUGUGUAUGGUUGUUCUGUUUCUCACGAUAGCUACGAAAUGUAUUCCAUUAAUUAACUUCUCUGAUGAUGUUAGAACUUAGAAGUUUUUUUCUUUUUCUUUUUCGGCAAAACGAAGUGAUUGAUUAGUCGCAUGAUCAACAUCAACAUAAUUUGUAAGAGUGAAUGUUAAGGUUAUCACAUGUGAUUAAUGUCUUUGAGUUUUGACUUGUAGUAAUGUGUAAAAUUCAAAGUUGUAGUAAAUAGCAUGGAAAUGUUAGAAUUGAUUUGUAGGCAUUUGUAACAUCCCAAAAUUUAAGACCAAAAAUUUUACUUUUAAUUUAAUAAUUAUAAAACCAUUUGUCUGAAAACAUCCAUAGUAUCAACCCAUAUCAAACCAAUGUAUAAAUAGUCAAACAUGUCAUGAUAAAACAACAUCAGAGUAUAACUCCCAAAGAUCUCAUGUGUGGAAAUCAUGGUGUGAUGCGCUGAAAUCAAGUCGGCUCCUUUGUUUUCAAAGAAGAAGUAACUGAAACCAAAACUGAAAACCGUAAGCACAAAGUUUUGUGAGUUCCCCCAUCAUACCACAUAAUCACAUACUGCCAGGCAUAUCUGGGUGCCCGGUCUACCGUAUCAGGCAUAUUUGGGUGCCCGACCUACCCUGUCGAGCAUAUUUGGGUGCCCGACCUACCCUGUCGAGCAUAUUUGGGUGCUCGACCUACCCUGCCAGGCAUAUCUAGGUGCCCGACCUAUCAUGUCAAACAUAUCUGGAUGCCCGACCUACCCUCCGGUUUAUUUCAACCGGUUACGGGGACUAUUUCUCCCUACCACUACCACAUAAUAACAUAGCAUAAAUAUACUGUCAGACAUAUAUGUGUGCCUGACCUACCCUCCGGUUUAUUUCAACCGGUUCCGGGGACUAUUUCACCCCUACCCCUACCACAUAAUAACAUAGCAUAAACCUACUGUCAAACAUAUUUGGGUGCCCGACCUACCCUCCGGUUUAUUUCAACUGGUUCCGAUGACUAUUUUACCCCUCCGACCAGUAUCACAUAAUAUCAUAGCAUACUAGCCCAUAAAACAUAACAUAUAGUGGCAUACCAAACAAUUAUCACAAAGCACAAUCAUCUCUAUUGUAAUCAGCUACUAGUGGGCCAACAUUGGUGCCUUCGACUGUAACAACCCAAAAUUCAAGCCCAAAAAUUUCAUUUUAAUUAUUUAUUUCAUAAAAACAUUCUUUAGAAAAUACUGUGUCGACACGACAUUUCAUAAAACAAUGUAUCAUGUUCGAAACCCAUGUCAUAAACAAAUAUCAUAUCAGAGUACAAUCCCAGAAAACUUCGUGCGGAAAAUCAGAUGUGUGUGCGAUGUCAUGCUACGCCGCCGCCUCCUUCCCCUUAGACGAAGAGGUACCUGAAACCAAAAACUGAAACCGUAAGCACAAAGCUUAGUGAGUUCCCCCAUCAUACCACAUACCAUACAAAUCCAUCGGUAUCUUUCAACCGGUAAUCAUCAUCGGUAUCUUUCAACCGGUAGUCUUCAUCGGUAUCUUACAACCAGUAAUCAUCAUCAGUAGCUUUCAACCGGUAAUCAUCAUCGGUAUCUUUCAACCGGUAACUAGGGUCUAUUCCACCCCAUACUACUAGCAUACAACAACAAGGUAUAAGCAUACAAUUAGGCAUAUCCGAGUACUGACCUACCCUUCGGUCCUAAGCACCACUGUCAGGGAAAACUAUCCCUAUCAUGCACGUAACAUAUCAUACAGAUAUAUCUCAUAACCAAACACGUAUCCAUACCAAGAUAAUUAUCACAAAGACAAUCAUCUUCUAAAUUACUCCUACUUGGUGGGCCGGCAUUGUGGCCUUAGACCCACCCUUAUUGGAAGGUAACUCACCUCAAAAUGUUGGUUGCUGAAAAGCUAAUCUGCAGAUGUCUGAAAGCUGCUCCGGUGAUCCCCCGGCUAUAUUUCCAUAAAACACUUAAUCAGACAUUGAUACUAUUCCCAGGGUAAAAUGACUAUUUUACCCCUGACCGAUUCCAAACCAAAGUUAAAUCAAGGUCAGAGUCAACUUCCAGUUGACCCGACUCGCCGAGUUGGCUUGCUAACUCGUCGAGUCCAUAUCCAGUCGCUUGUCCUUACUCCCGUCUCUACUCGUUGAGUUAGGCAUUGACUCGACGAGUUCACUUCCUAAUUGAUACCCAAUGGUCCUUCAUCCGACUCGCCGAGUUGUUUGAACAACUCGUCGAGUUCUAUGAAGAUUGCCUUGGACUCGCCGAGCACCUUCAUGCACUCGCUGAGUCCCAUGAACUUCCAGAUCAAUGGCUUAGUCCAGAAUGUCGGGUCACUCCCCGGAGACCCCCUUCAAACUUUCCACACACAACUGGGUCCUUUCGACCCUCAACAGAAUGGGACAGAACCCCCUAGACUCGCCGAGUUGGUCACGUCCACUCCAUAAAUCUUUGCUCUCUGAUGAACAUCCUUUGAUCAAAAGCUAGAUCCAAGCUUCUACAAUUGAUCUAGCACGUAAAGUUACAAACUUUACGUGCUUGCAUGGGACUUUGAGCUCAAAAGGACAUAAAACAAUCUCAUAUGGCGCAUGAGGCCUUUCAUGGGUGCAAAAGCAACCCAAAUCUACCUAGUGAUGUAAUGCCCGUAGAUUAGGGCUAGUCAAUUUAGAGACGAUAGGCGUCAAAAAUGAAUUUUUGAUGGAAGAUUAUUUUGAAGGAAUAAUCUUAUCUAAGUUAUAGUAUAUGUUACAAGGAUUCCGUACAUAUAAAGAACGCCAAAAUCCGAGCUAUAACGAAGAAGUUAUGACCUGUCGAAGUUUCGCGACAGAACCGACACGACGUUGAAUGACGUAAAAAGUGAAUUUAUGUUAGAGUGAUAUUUAGCCUUAGCGAUCUAAAUGAAAGUCGUAGAGUUCGUUAAACCAUGAGCGUGCAUAAAAAGAACGCCCAAAUCUGACUUCGUAUGAGGAAGUUAUGAUUUUUCGAAGUUUCGACUUAGCGGUAUGCAGCCCGAAUACUCGAUUUGAGACCGAGCGGUUUUUAGCCGAAACAAUCUAAAUGAGAAUUGAAGAUCUCAUUAAUUGUAGUAAAACGAUAAAAAGAUAGGCGAAAACGGACGUCGGAUGAAGAAGUUAUGAUUUUAUAACGGAGUUUUCCUGUCCCGGCCUACUAAAAAUAAAUAAUAAAAAUAAAGUCAAAAUUAGCCGACGGAGUCUAAACGAAAGUUGUAGAUCGUAGUCUCACCUACGCGUGGAUAUAAAGAACGUCGAAAACGGAGUUCGUAUGAGGAAUAUAUGAAUUUUUGAAGUUUAUUAAAUAUUUUCGAUAUUUUAUUUAUAUAUAUAUUCCGAUAUUAUCCGAAGGGGGGGGGAGUCAGCGAUCUUAUCGUCGUUACGCCCAGCGUAAUCUCAAGUUACGCCCAGCAUAAUUCGACCUUCCAGCCCCUAUAAAAGGAGGUCGAGGGCAACCGAGUUAUUUGCUCAUUUCUUCCCUUUUUCUCGCGUUUUUGCAUCGUUUUUCGUGCAAGAAUUAUCCCGAAACCCCUGUAUCAUUCUCGAGCCCCGAAGCAAGUCCCGUGGCCCCGAAGAUCCCGAGAAGUGCGAUUCCCGAGCCGAAGCUCUGCCCGCGAGGAGUCCGGUUUUUGUGAAGAUCUUCCAGAUCUGCCGAAGAAUACUACUUCUACAAGCCGUAGUGCUGUCCGGUCAUCUUCUAAUCAAGUGAGUGUGUAGUUACUUUCUUCUAACGCAUAAAUAUUAAGUAUUUGCUAUGAAAUACGAGCUAUGUGUAUAAUAUAAAGUUGUUUAUAUGUGUGAGUGUAUAGUCCCUUUCAUAAACACGAGCAUAAUACAAGUAUUGUUUGAAUGUAUUAAGUAUAUGUUUGGGUGAGUGUAUAGUCACUUUCAUCUUACACAUAGAUAUGAAGUAUUUUAUAAAAUACGUGCUAUGUGUAUAUAUAUUGUUGUUUAUAUGUGUGAGUGUGUGGUUAUUUUCUUCUAACAUAAAGAUAUGAAGUAUUUGCUAUGAAAUACAUGUUAUGUGUUUAUAUAUUGUUGUUUAGUUGAGAUGAGUGUGGAAUGGAUCUUUUAUAUAGGUGUUAAAUGAGUUAAUCUGUAUAUGUAUUUUAUAUCUACAAAAUGUUGGGUAGAACAUGGGUAGAUGAAUUAGAUGAUGUUUGAUGAUAAUUAGGUGAUGAGAAAUAGGUGAUGAUAAUUAGGUGAUGAGAGAUAGGUGAUGAUAAUAAGGUGAUGAUAGAUAGGUGAUGAUAAAUAGGUGAUGUGAAAUGAGAGGAGAUACCAUAACCUUGACCGACGAUGUAGUCAUCUACCAGAGUAUAGAUGGCGACCAUGGACUAUUCUAGAUGACCCCGUGGAAACACCAGCAGGCUCAUAACCUAUAGGUGAUGAAUUACGAGCCCAUGCGAUGUUGUGGCUAUGUAUUCAUUCGAUGAUACUCUAACCCUUACUAUGAAUUACGAGUCCAGGCGAUGUUGUGGCUGCGUAUUCAUGCGAUGAUAGUCUAACCCUUAUUAUGAUUUACGAGUCCAGGCGAUGUUGUGGCUGUGUAAUCAUGCGAUGAUACCCUAACCCUUACUAGACAUAUAUUGAGGGAGUGAUCCCCGAAUUAGCAUUGUCUAUAUGAUACAGGCGAUGAUCCUUAGGAAAAGUUCUUAGGAACAAGCAUAUAAGGAUAUAAGAUGUAAGGAGAUGAGCGGUAAAUAUGAUAUAGGAGAUGACCCUUAGGAUAAUAUCUUUAGGGAAGAUUAAAAGAAGAUAAUGGGGAUGGGUAAUUGGGUUGAUUGUUUGAUGAUUGAAUAUAAUAAUUAUAUUAUUGUGGGUUGAAAACCCUAUAUGCUCACCAGGCUCCCAAGCCUGACCCACUCAGUUUAAUUGUAUCACAGGUAUCGAUACGAAGCUGCUUUGCACUGAGAGAUUAAAGGAGAUGUAAAUCAUUAGUGUAAUUGAAUGUAAGUUCUGUUUAUGCUUAUAUGUCUGUAUCGGAACAUGACAUCCCGAGGUUUUAUUAUUAAAUGAAAAUACAUUCUCUUUGAGAAAUGUUUUGAUAAGUUAUUAUCAUAUCUUGUUUUGGGAACAAAUUCCGUAACCGUUUUCUUUAAAAGAUUACUCUGAUUUUAUAUAACAAAGCAUAAAAAAAUCAGUCUUUUCUGGUCGUGAAAAUGGGGAUGUCACAAGUGACUCCUUUCAUGACGUGAUUCAGAAGCUUAAACCCCCAACCAUGUUUGCAAACAUGGUUGGCCACCAAAAAUGGCUCAUAAAAGCCCUAAACCUCCCCAAAGAGGGAUCUAACAAAUGAAUGAGCAAGAUCACAGCUUUUUACCUUAAAUGAGCUGAAGAAGGUGCACAAACUCAGGUUCCCAUGAUCUUUACUUGCUUCCUCAAGCUUCUCUCCUUCCUUCCUUAAGAUCACAACACCAAAAUCCACCGACAAGGCUUAGAUUGCUUCAAAAACGACUAGGGUUUCAGUGAGGGGUGUUUGGGAGCAUAAAGGCGUGAUGGAGGCUGCAUAAGGUCAUUUAAAUAGGGUGAAAACCCCUAGAUUAGGGUUUUUGUCCAGACAGCGGCUAAAAAACACANNNNNNNNNNNNNNNNNNNNNNNNNNNGAGUCCGGGACCCGACUCGCCGAGUCUGCAACUUAAACUCCACGUCUCAUCCCGCUUCUACUCGGCGAGUCAGUCCUUCGACUCGCCGAGUCCAAGGCCAAAAUUGUAAAUCAUUAACAGAAUUAAAUACAAGAAUACGUACCAAGAACCAGGUGCUACAUCGACCCACUUCUACUAGAAGGUAACUCACCUCAAAUGUUGUAAAGUUGCUGAAUGGUCCUCGACUCUGAAAUCAACCCCACUCAAACUCCUACACAUAAAAUAUUUCAUUUAAUUACCCUUUCAUACUCAUAACCCCUUAAGGGUCAGCUUUGGUCAAAGUCAAAGUCAAAGUCAACAUUUUGGUCAAAGUCAAUAUUCUGGUCAAAGUUAACAUUUCGAGUUGACUCAACUCGCCGAGUUGGCCCUGCAACCUGCCGAGUUCCAUAAAUCACAAAACCCUGGAAUCACGAUCCAACUCGUCGAGUUCCUCCUUAUCAACAGAAUAGGGAAUUCUCAAGAUCAACUCGUCGAAUCCGUCCUUAAACUCGUCAAGUUCUUCUUUUUAACAGAAUCGGGACACUACAACCCAACUCGUCGAGUUCCUUUAUGAACUCGUUGAGUCCUUCAGUUUUUAAGCCUUCUUAAUGUAUUAAGCCAUCAUUCUUCGAAUCUAAGUCCCAUAUUCCAGAUUUGGGCCGAAUACACAUCCAGGAGGGUAAAGUUUCCGACUUUACCCAUUAAGACCCAUCCAAGAAGAAAUGAGCCCUAACCCUAACUCAAAAUGUCUUAGAUCCAACUCCAAAAGCCAUCAAAACAUCAAGAUAAGCCACAUGUUCAUAGAUUUGGACUCUAGGGACAAUUUGGUCACGUAAAGUUCCUAUCAUUACUUACAUGCAUGGUCUACUUGUCUCAAAAGGCCAAAAAGAUGGUCUACAAGUUGCAUGGGACUUCCAUGGCCAUAAAGUUGGCACCUUUAUCCCAUAAAGACCCUAGAUCUGAAGGGUUUGCCCACAUGGGGUGUCCAAAACCCAAAACCCAACAAUCUUGGACCAAAACAUAGAGAAAACAUCCUAGAACUAGAUCUAAGCAUACUAUAGGCAAGGUAGGAGCUUUAUACCUCAUAUGAAUCAGAAAUGAAACCCAACUUCUGGAUCUACUCUCCUCUUACACGUCCUUGCUCCUUUUUCAAGUAUCUUCUUCUUCAAAAUCACAAAGAAUGCACAAAAUUGGCUCAAAACUCUCAAAAGUGAAUUAGGGUUUCGUGGCUAGGGUUUGGGACAUUGGAGGCUGUAAAUGAGGCCAGCUUAUGGAGUAUAUUUCAACCCGACAUACCAUAGUGUGCCCCACCCUGGGGUAUAUUUCAACCCAAUCAUACAAACAAGUACACAUCACAUAGCAACUAGCAUUCUAUAGAAUCAAAAUAAUGGACUGACAUUGGUGCCUUCGACCCAUGUAUACAGUGAUAAAACUCACCUCAUAGACAUACGAGAAAAUAGAAAUAGCACGCUGCUCUAAAAUCAACUCUACCAGUCACCUUUAAAAAAAGUGACCAAAACUCAAAAUAUAGGUCAAAAUACCUAAAAUACCCCUAGGUCAAAAUCCAAGUCAAAGUCAACUGAGUUAACUCGGUGAGUAUGCUGGGUGUUCCCAACUCGUACGUGGGGCGUACUGCUUUCUUGACCAAACGUCGAAGAGCUGACCUUGAACGCGCAACGUACACUUUGAUACAACCAGCGUUCGUGGCUGCCACUCACUCAAUCCAUUAAGUGUUUAAUCCUUAAGCACUUACGUCCAAAAUCCAGAUCUAGACCCUAAAAAGUGUUCUUACCCACAAAGUUUCCAACUUUAUGGUUUUGCAUGGAUAAUAAGACCUUGUCACCAAAAACCCUAACCUUUUGACCCAUUAAGACAACCUAAUCAUGGGAAGGAACUAAUGUCCAAGAUCAUAUUUUUAUGACUUAACAUACACUAUAACAUCUGAAAGAAAGGUUCGUUGUGAACCAUCAAUAGUGGUGCAUUUUGGUUUGUGGUUAGUCUCAUGUUGGGGGUUAUGUAGGACCUCUUUGCCUGUUCUCGUUUGAUUAAGGCCUUAAAGUUCGAAGCCGAACCGAAUGCAUGUUGAGGAUCAACAGAUUAGAGUUUUGACUUGUAUUGAUUCAUGGCGAAGUUUUCUUGUAGAUAGCUAGCAAUACCAUGUGAUGUAGCCAUGGCAUAAUGGGAAUGUUGUAAGACUGCGGGGUGACCCAUAGUAUUCACUGGAUUUAUAGGCAGUUAUGGAAGUGAUUGUAAGACCAAUGGGUAACUGUAGCAUACACAAGGAUGAUAUGAUGUUGGGGAAGUGUUGUGAGUAUGCGAUGUAGUUGUAGCAUUCAUCAGAAUGAUGUUGGCCACUGUACGAAUGGUCGUUGGGCUGAAGGAGGAUUAACACAUGCAUGGGUUAAGAUUGACAGUAUUGUCAGAGGAUUUCUAUUGUUUUGGUAUGAGGAUCGUUGGAUCCAAGGUAAUGUCAGGCCUGUGCAACACUCGUUUGGGUGAGACCCGUGGGCGAGGCCUGUUCGAUUGUGCAGGCUGGGUGAGGCUAGUGGGCGAGGCCCGUAGGGUUAUGAUAGUAUGGAUGAGACCCGGUAAAAAGAGACUUAAAUAAGGUAUUAGAUCAUGUUUAGAAUGGUAUGACUCGGUGAUCAAGGGAAGUCAUCUGUGUGGUGUUUAAGCUCAACUAGCCUGUACCAGUUAGACUCAAUGGUUGGGUCUAUUGUGUGACCGUGCGCAAGAUUGUUGGGCAAUUGGGGAAAUUAUAUAUUUUAGUUUAGUAAAAGGUCGCCAUGUAUUUUGAGUGUGAGAUAUGUUCCGGGUUGGCUAAAAGGGAUGAGACUUGCAUUGAGGGUCCCCAUUUCUGAUAUGAAUGGUCUUUUCGGCAACAAUGUACGGUCAAGAAUUCUAUCCGCCAAGGGUAUUAGUUAGAUAAUUUAGUAUCGGAAGAUGUUUUUCAGUUCAGAUUGCAGAGAAAGGUCUGAUUGAUUGUGUUUCAAAAUGAGUAUGCCUGUGAGGAGGCCAGGUAAAGUUUUAGGUUCCGGACUUAUAGCAGUUAAGUGCUAGUUUUUCCAUAUUGAAUAAGUUAGUGGAUCAAUAAUUCGAUCACUAUCAAGGCGUGUGGGUCAUGUUAUGUUUAAGUUUCGAUGGUAGCAUUGGAAGGUCGCCGUGAGUCUGAGUCAACCUUCUCGUCGAAGUGGGGUUCGAGAGGUUUUGGUCGGAUCAUAUAGUUUCCUGGAAGGUAAUAAGAAAUGAUUUCGAGGAUGAAAUCUAAUUUAAGUGGGGGAGAGUUGUAACACUCUGGUUCAAUUCGUUUCAUAAUUCGGGGUUGUGACCCGAAGAUCAAUUAUCAUAAGGUUUCGGGCAUUGAGGAAAAUAAUGUUAGACCCAUUUGGAUGUGGUUAAUGUAGAUUAUGUGAUCCAAGAUUUGGUUUGUGCUUUAGAUCCAAAGGGUAUAAUGGGAAAAAUGAUGUUUUGUACUUCUUUUAUGAGUUAAGAAUUUUAGUUUGAUGUGAUUUAAUUUAAAAGUAAUUAGAUAGGGUUGUAUAGCUCCUCACCUUUCCGUCGAUAUAAAGAUCGUCGAAAUCGGAAUUGAAAUGAAGAAGUUAUAACCGUUUGAAGUUAGGACAGUUUUGGGUUAAACCACAUACGUUGGGCGUAAUAGGAAGUACGUGUGGCGUACUAGGGUAUCCCUGAGUACAUUGGGCGUACCAAGAGUACGUUGGGCGUACGCAAUAAGUGCCCAAACCCUAUUUUCGUGGUUUGAGCCCUAUUUAAGCUCCUUAACUUCCCCAAACCGAUUCCAUUCUCAGCCUCCACCUCUCCAACACACUCCCUUGAAACCCUAACCAUAGUUUGAGCCUUGUGAACAAAAAUAAGGUGUUUUUAAGUGAUUUGGAGUGUUCUUGAUGCAUCUUGGAGAAGAAAGAGCUCAUUGGAGAAGUGUUGGUUGCAUUGGAGCUUGUAGAUCCAAACUUUGUUCACCUUGAUCUUUCUUAUAGAGGUAUAAAGCUUGAAUCUUGAUGAUGUAUUUGUUAGAUGUAGCUAGUUUUGGGUGUUAUGAGCUUUUGGUCACUUUAGUGCUUAAAGUUUAGAUCUUGAAAGUUUGUGACCUUGUUAUGGAUAAAGUUGGAAACGUUAUCCAUUUAAACAUCAUCUUGAUUCAGAUCUAAAGGUUGGAGACUUGGACUUAAUGAAUUAAGUUGAAAGAUAUGCACUUUUGGUCCCUUUGAAACUUAAAGACUAGCUCUUGGUUCUUUGGACCAUUCUAAUGGAUAAAGUUGGCAACUUUAUCCAUUAUGGAGUCAUUAGGAACCAUAAAAAUGUGACCUUGGUCCCUAGUUUUCCUCCAUGCAUGGUCUUGGAUGUCUUAAUGGGUUAAGAAGUUAGGGUUUUUGGAUGUUGAAGACUUAAUAUCCAUGCAAGACCAUAAAGUUGGAAACUUUAUGGUUAAGGAUAUCAUUUGAGGGUUAGAUCUGGAUUUUGGAAGAAAGAGCUUAAAGGAUUAAGCUCUUAAUGGAUUGGAAGGAUGGCAGCCAUGUACGCUGGGCGUACCAAAGGGUAUGUUGCACGUACGUGGUCAGUCCCUCGAGUUCUGGUCAAGGCGUAGUAUGCCCCGAGUACGUGUUGAGUACGCCUAACGUACUCAAUUGAGUUGACCUGGUCAAAUCGGUUGAUUUUUGACUUUAACCAGGAUUUUGACCAAGUUUGACCUGAGAGCAUUUUGGGUAAUUUGAUUUAUAGUUUGAGAUUUGGGUUCCUGUUAACUGUAUAGGUGACUGGUAGAGAUAGCUUUUAGAGCAGUGAUCGGUGCAACUAUUCUUUCAGACUGUGAGGUGAGUUUUCUCACUGUAUCCGUGGGUUGAAGGCACAAAUGUCGGCCCAUUACUUUGUUGUGUAGAAUGCUACUUGUCUCUAUGAUACUUGCAUGAAAGACCAGCAUCUAGCCCCUGGUAAUUGUAUGAAAGACCAGGAUCUGGCCCCUGACACUUGUAUGUAAGACCGAGAUUUAGCCCUGGGCAUUGCAAAGAUAGACCAUGGGGGUAGCCCAUGACUUGUAUGUAAGACCGGGAUUUGACCCUCAACAUUGCAAGGAAAGACCGUGAGGGUAGCCCAUGACAGUUGUAUGUUAUGGUAUGUGAUACUUAGGGAACUCACUAAGCUUUGUCCUUACAGUUUAUGUUUAUGGUUUCAGGUAUUUUCGGUACGAAAGUGAAGGGCACGACAUGACUGCACCUUAUUCACCAGAGUUUUUCGCAUUGAAAAUUUUCAAUAUUUCUCUGAUGUUUAAAUAAAAUAUUCACCUUGAUCGGUUUUCGAACAACUCAUUUGCAUGGUUUAUUGUUUUAAAAACGAAAAUUUUACUAUGAACUUUUGGGACGUUACAUAAGUCCCAAAAGGCUUAAUAUUUCAAGAACCUAACCAACAAGUACUUACUCAUUAAGGUCCGAAAUCCAACCUUUCUAGAAGUGAUUCUAGCAUCGAAACUAACCUAAAUGUUGGUGCUUUACAGACAUGCAUGUCUAAUGCAUGUAUUGAACCCAUAUUUGGUCAAAAUGAGGGUUUAUGACCUAAAUCACAUGCAUGGAUUGAAAAUCCAACCAAACUACAGAUCCAUGGCACAAAUUACACCAAAUGUACCAGAGAUUCUAUAACAUCCCAAAAAUACAGGUCAAAAUUUUCAUUUUUAAAUAUGUCAUUAUAAAACCAACAGUGUAAUAAAACAUCCGUAAUAUCAUGUCAUGUCAAAACCAAAGUAGAAAUAAUCAAACGUGUUAUCAUAAAAUAAUAUCAGAGUGUAAUCCCAAAGAUCUCAUGUGCGGAAAACCAUAGUGUGAUGCGUUGCGAUCAAGCCGACUCCUUUCCUUUGAACACGAAGUACCUGAAACCAAAACUGUAAACCGUAAGCACGAAGCUUAGUGAGUUCCCCCAUCAUACCACAUACCACACAAUCAUAUAACAUACAUAUACUGUCAGGCAUAUCUGGGUGCCCGACCUACCCCUUCGGUCCUCUCGACCGGAUACUGCCUAGCAUAUCUGGGUGCUAGCCUCCCCUUCGAUCCUCUCGACCGGAUACUGUCUAGCAUAUCUGGGUGUUGGGCUCCCCUUCGGUCAUCUCGACCGGAUAUUGCCUAGCAUAUCUGGGUGCCGGGCUCCCCUUCGGUCCUCUCGACCGGAUACUGCCUAACAUAUCUGGGUGCUGGGCUCCCCUUCGGUCGUCUCGACCGGAUACUGCCUAGCAUAUCUGGGUGCUGGCCUCACCUUCGGUAUCUUUCAACUGGUAACCGGGGACUAUUUCACCCCCUAACACUACCACAUAAAAAGCAUAGCAUAAACACAUAAGACAUUACUGCCUAGCAUAUCUGGAUGCUGGCCUACCACUUCGGUCCUGUCGACCGGUAAUCCGGGGACUAUCUCCCCUAUUGUCACUAGCACAUAACAUCAUAUCAUACUAGCACAUAAACAUAACAGGUAGUAGCAAACAUAAACAAUUAUCAUAAAGACAAUCAUCUAACAACAACUCCUACUGGUGGGCCAUCAUUGUGGCCGUAGACCCACCGCUACUGGAAGGUAACUCACCUCACAUUGCUGAAGUCCCGUAGACACAAUCCCACACUACUGAAGUCCCGCAGGCUGAACCCCAUCUAUUAGUUGACAGAUUCCCAAACUGUCAACACCAAAAUAACGCCCAAUUAAUAAUUGGGUUCCAACACAUAACCAUAAUUCAUACUUGAAUAAUUACUACAUUACCCCAGGCUUGGCUUAUUUAAGCCCAAGGCCCAAUCUGUAGGCCCAAAGUCAAUUAGGAAUCAAAUCCCAACAUAUGGCCCAAUUUUCCAAAUUGGGCCUAGGCCUAUACAUGGUCUCAUUCUAAGGCCCAACAUCAUAUACUCAUUAAGGCCCAAAACUUUGCCCAUCUAUGGCCCAAUUUUCCAAAUUAGGCCCAAUCCCCUUACAUGGGCCUUACCCUAGGCCCAUUAAAUUACUCUAGACCAUUUGCUUGAUCUUGGAUAGUCCAUUUAAUAACCCAAAUCAUAAAGGACCAAUAGAAAGGCCCAAAAAUUAAACCCGAGUGAAAUUAGGGUUUCACAUAAAAUGAUGAUUAGGGUUAAGUUUCCUACUUAACCCAUUAAGUCCAUUAUCGCUUAGAUUAAUCUCUGCCAACGUUUAUUAUUUAAUAUCUCAAGUUAUUAAAUAAUUCUUGUGUGUGUGACCCGAUUAAUUCUUAAAGUUAGGGUUUCAUUGGCAUUAGGGCUUUCCAAACCCUAAUUAGGGUUUCCAACCCAUAUACUAGCCCAUUUAUUUAUUUGUUGGGUUUUUAGAUCAAUUAGCGCUUUAUGGGGCCUAUUAAGCCCACUGAAAUAUUAUUAAGCCCCUUUGGGUUUUAUUAGGUCCAUUAGAGUCCAUUAAACUUCAUUAGGCCCAUUAGAGCUCCUUUGAGCCCAUUAGGGUUUCUAGCACCCCGAAUGUAACAUCCCAAAAAUACAGGCCAAAAAUUUCAUUUUUAAAUACGCCAUUAUAAAACCAACAAUGUAAUAAAACAUUUGUAACAUAAUGUCAUGUCAAAACCAAAGUAGAAAUAAUCAAACGUGUUAUCAUUAAGCAAUAUCAGAGUGUAAUCCCAAAGAUCUCGUGUGCGGAAAACCGUAGUGUGAUGCGCUGCGAUCAAGCCGACUCCUUUCCUUUAACACGAAGUACCUGAAACCAAAACUGAAAACCGUAAGCACAAAGCUUAGUGAGUUCCCCCAUCAUACCAUAUACCAUACAAUCACAUAACAUACAUACUGCCAGACAAUUCUGGGGUGCCCGACCUACCCGUGUCAAGCCAUUAUGGGGUGCUGACCUACCCGUGUCAACCCAUUCUGGGGUGCUGACCUAUCCAUGUUAAGCCAUUCUGGGGUGCUGACCUACCCGUCGGUCCUAACAACCGACCCUCGGGGACUAUUCCACCCCCUACUGCUACUAUCACAUAUAUCGUAACAUAAACAUACUAUCAGACAUAUUUGGGGUGCCUGAAUUACCCUUCGGUUCUAACAACCGAACACGGGGACUGGUCCCCUCAUACUACCUCUAUCGCAUAAAACAUUACAAGCCAGCAUGCAAACAUAUCAUCACAUACUGUCAGACGUAUCUGGGGUGUCUGACUACCCUUCGGUCCUAACAACCGAACUCGACUACUAUCACACACAACAUAUCAUGCUAGCAUAUAACAUAUCAAGUAGUAGCAAGCUUAGAUGAUAUCACAAAGACAAUCAUCUAUCAUACGUCUCCUACUGGUGGGCCGACAUUGUGGCCUUAGACCCACCGCUACUGGAAGGUAACUCACCUCACACUGCUGAAGUCCCGUAGACACAAUCCCACACUGCUGAAGUCCCGCAAACUCAACCCCAGCUGCUGGAUGACAAAUUCCCGAUCUGUCAAUAUCAAAACAUCACCCAAUUAAUAAUUGGGUCCCACUACAUAACCAUAAACACUUACUUUGGAUAAUAACAUUACCCCAAGCUUGGCUUAUUCAAGCCCAAGGCCCAAUCCGUAGGCCCAAAGUCAACUAGGAAAUCAAAGCCCAACACAUGGCCCAAUUUUCCAAAUUAGGCCUAGGCCUAUACAUGGUCUCAUACUAAGGCCCAACAUCAUAUACUCAUUAAGGCCCAAACUGUGGCCCAUCUAUGGUCCAAUUUUCCAAAUUGGGCCCAAGAUCUUUACAUGGGCCUUAACCUAGGCCCAUUAAAUUACUCUAGACCAUUUGUUUGAUCUUGGAUAGUCCAUUUAAUAACUCAAAUCAUCAAGGCCCAACAGAAAGGCCCAACAAUAACCCUAAGUGAAAUUAGGGUUUCACAUAAAAUGAUGAUUAGGGUUAAGUUUCCUACUUAACCCAUUAAGGACUUCAUCCAUUAAGGACAUAAUCCAUUAAGUCCAAUAUUACUUAGAUUAAUUUCCGCCAAUGAUUAUUAAUUAAUAUUCCAAGUUAUUAAAUAAUUCUCGUGUGUCACGCUUAAAUCCCCAAUUUAAGAUUUAUUGGCAUUAGGGUUUUCCAAACCCUAAUUAGGGUCUCCAACCCAAUACUAGACCAUCAAUUAAUUUGUUGGGCUUUUAGAUCAAUUAGGGCUUUAUUGGGCCUAUUAAGCCCACUAAGGUUUCAUUAGGGUCCAUUAUUGUUUUAUUAAGCCCAUUAAGUCUUACGGGGUCAAUUAGGGCUUCCUUGGGCCCAUUAGGGUUUCAAACCCCCAAAAUCAACACANNNNNNNNNNNNNNNNNNNNNNNNNNNNNNNNNNNNNNNNNNNNNNNNNNNNNNNNNNNNNNNNNNNNNNNNNNNNNNNNNNNNNNNNNNNNNNNNNNNNNNNNNNNNNNNNNNNNNNNNNNNNNNNNNNNNNNNNNNNNNNNNNNNNNNNNNNNNNNNNNNNNNNNNNNUGGUGGCAGCCACCACCUCAUGGUGGUGGUGGUGGCGGUUCUUAGAUUUUCCAGCCAAGCAACUACACACACAACACACCACAACAAAACUAAACACCCAGAAUUUCUUGAAAACUGAUCCUUCCAUCGAUCUAGCGGCGUACGACGGCGUAUUGAAAUGACAGCCACCAUGGCCGGCUGCCAUGGUGGUUUUCCAUGACCCAACUCGACAGGUGAUGAACCACACGAACUCGACAACCCUUUAGGGUUGUGACCAUGACCGGAGCAACAGAAGUGAGCCCUUGGCGGCGGAUGGAGCAAAAGAAAAAGAAGAGAACGACGGCAUCGUGAUGAGUUCGAAACAGGCAGCGGUCACAGGCCAUCUCCGGCCAUACACGACCUAACCGACGACAACAGGUGGUGGAAUGGAGACCUUCGUCGACGAAGCAGUAGGCGGACACGAGAGCUAUCGAACUCGGUGAUGCCAUCGGCGGUUGAGGGGCUUCUAUGGUGAUGGCGGCGAUCGAAAAUGAAGGAGGAGGAUAGCGGCCUUGCUGAUCGGGAAAACGAGAAGUGAAGAGGGAUGGUGGCGGCCACAUUUUCUUCUAGGUUUAGGGUUCUCUUAUGGGUUAUAUACCCGACACCAUAACAUAUUGCCAUAAUGGCAAAAUUGGUCCCUCCCCAUAAAUUCUCUUUAAAUUAAAUCCCAUAUUUUCCCUUUCAACCCCUGCCAACUAAAUUCUUUACAAACCAGAUCCGAGAUUUACAAUACAACCCCUAUCUUCUAAAAUCUUUACAAAGCUAAUCCAGAAUUUACAAAACCUCCCCUUGCUUGACAAAUUCUUUCCAAUUAAGGUCCAGAAUUUACCCUUCAGCCCUCCACUUCUAAAUUUAUGACAAUUAGCCCCUCGAGACCAUCCAUUGAUAUAUAAUUAUUUAUUUUAGGGCUACUAUUCGCUCAUUAUUUUAUUUAUUGACUUAAUAAAUAAACGGGGCUUUACAACUCUCCCCCACUUAAAUUAGAUUUCGUCCUCGANCCACCCGACACGGCGGCCGGUGGCGGCAACCACCACCCUAACGUGGUGGUUUUCAAGUUCUUUUAUUAUUCCAAGCUGUGAUUUACAUUUUACAAUGCUAAAUAUCAAAAUAAACACACACUAAAAAUUAAACACACACACACAGCCACCUUGUGGUGGUCGGCGGCGGCAGAUGGUGGCGGCCACCACCCUAUGGUGGUGGUGAUGCCUUUUCCGAGGACUCUGGCCAAACACCCACGCACACAUCGACUGAAUCAUGCACCUCUUCAUUCCUUUACUCGGAGAGGGAAGCCAACCACUCACUUUGUGGCAUAAGCCGACGGCAACAAGGUAAUGGCCACCAUGGCGGCUGCCAUGGUGGUUUUCACGCUUUUCUGGCCAACAGUAAGCAGGCAUACACGCACGGAGACGAGCUGAGCAAGGAAGCGCACCCCAACUCGAUAGGUGAUAAACCACACGAACUCGACAGCCCUUUGGGGUUGUGACCAUGACCGGAGCAAUAGAAGUGAGCCCUUGGCGACGGAUGGAGCAAAAGAAAAAGAAGAGAACAGCGGCAACGUGACGAGUUUGAAACGGGCAGCGGCCACAGGCCAUCUCCGACCAUACACGACCUAACCGACGGCAACAGGUGGUGGAAUGGCGGCCUUCGUCGACGAAGCAGUAGGCGGAGACGAGAGUUAUCGAACUCGGUGAUGCCAUCAGCGGUUGAGGGGGCUUCUAUGGUGAUGGUGGCGAUCGGAAAUGAAGGAGGAGGGUAGCGGCCUUGCUGAUCGAGAAAACGGGGAAGUGAAAAGGGAUGGUGGCGGCCGCAUUUGAUUCUAGGUUUAGGGUUCUCUUAUGGGUUAUAUACCCGACACCAUAACAUAUUGCCAUAAGGGCAAAAUUGGUCCCUCCCCAUAAGUUCUCUUUAAAUUAAAUCCCAUAUUUUCCCUUUCAACCCCUGCCACCUAAAUACUUUACAAACCAGAUCCGAGAUUUACAAUACAACCCCUAUCUUCUAAAAUCUUUACAAAGCUAAUCCAGAAUUUACAAAACCUCCCCUUGCUUGACAAAUUCUUUCCAAUUAAGGUCCAGAAUUUACCCUUCAGCCCUCCACUUCUAAAUUUAUGACAAUUAGCCCCUCGAGACCAUCCAUUGAUAUAUAAUUAUUUAUUUUAGGGCUACUAUUCGCUCAUUAUUUUAUUUAUUGACUUAAUAAAUAAACUGGGCUUUAUAGAUUCAUAAAGUUGCAAACUUUAUGAGAUCUCGUGUAAUGCCCUAUUCCGAAUCGCUUUCCUAAUUCAAGACUGUGGCCUGCAGAUGGGUUAUCAUAAGGCUGAGGGCCUUUGGAAAAGAGGGAUCUAGACCCAUUUAGGUGCAGAUAAUGUAAUUGAGGUGAUCCGGGAGUUUGGGUUGUGUCUUGGAGCCAAGGGGUAAAUCAGUAAAGUGGUUGUUCGAGCUCUUUAUGAAUUUUGGAUUUUCGUUCGGAAGGUUUUGAGGUAAGGAUAAGUUGAUAGAUGUGUAGAGCUUCUCGCCACCUUUAUGUGGAUAUAAAGAACGUCGAAAACGGAGUUGAAACGAAUAAGUUAUGGCCGUUCGAAGUUGGAGUGGUUCGGGUGAGUGAUCGUUGACUUGUUGACCAAGUUUAUUUAAUGCUCACGACGUGAGAAUUAAGUGCUCACGAUGUGAGACACACCUGAUGCACCAAAACCCUAAUUUUUGGGUAUUUAAAGGUAUGAGAUGAUUAGGGUUGCUUCUCCUCAGCCUCUUUCACUCCCAAGUCAUUGAAAAACCCUAGAUUCGGCCCUCUUGAGCUCUUGAGAUAUUGUUAGUGGUUUUGGUUUGCUAAUGGUGCUUUGAGUCCCUUGAAGAAGAAGAAGGAGCUAUUGUGGUGACUCAUUUUGUCAAGAUAAGCUCAUCUUUGUGGACCAGCUGAACUUGUGAACUCUAGUAAGGUAUAAAGAUCCUACCCUUUUCACUUGAGGUUGCUAGAUCUAGGUUUUGGCUACCUUCUUUGCAUGAGAUCUUGGCUUACCAAGCAUGAGAUUCAUAAAGUUAGCAACUUUAUGAACCAUUGAGUCAUUUGCUUUAUUAGAACCCUUGGAUCUGGACUUUGGUGCAAGUUAUGGACUCCAAGUUUGAAUCUUGAUGUUUAUACCCAUUUUUUGACCUAACUAGUGUUUAAGUCAUGUAUUGGACAUAUAUGACUAAAAAGAUUCGAUUUUUAUGGUCCUUGGGGUCAAGUAAGACCCUCUAGACUGCCCCCAUGUUAAGGCUUAAUGGAUUAGGAACUUAAUGCUCAUUUUUUUGGUCUGAUCUGAACUCACGAUGUGAGGAAUGAAGCCUCACGACGUGAGAGCGUAUUCGAGGAAGUUUCUGGGCCAAAAUCAUGACCUCAUGAAGUGAGCAUAAGGUGCUCAUGGCGUGAGCAUCACCUGAGCAAGUUUUGGGAUCUUUGAUUGUGAGCUAGCUUGGUAUUGGACUUAUCCUUUGGUUUGGGCUCAUAAUGGGCUAAGGAUUUUAGAGUAAUGGACUUCUGGUUGGGCUUGUCCUAAUGGGCUUUGGAUGAUGAAUUGGGCCUUAGUGGACCCAAUGUAGUUAGACCUUGAUUGGGCCCAAUGGGCUUUAGGAAAAGGCCCAUGAAAGGGUUUGGGCCUAGUUUGGAAAAUUGGGCCAUUGAUGGACUUUAUUGGAUUUUAUAGUUUUGGGCCUCGAUUGUGAGUAUUGAAUGGACCAGGGGUGAAACGGUCAUUUCACCCCAAGUAAGAAUUAAGGAUCAUGGUUUGAGACUCAACUGCUAAUUGGGUGAUAUUUUGGUAUUGAUAGUUCGAGGAGUUGGUAGGACAACAACUAAGGACUUCUUGUAAUGGAUUUCAGUAGUCCGAAGUGAGUUACCUUACAAUAGAAGUGGGUCUAAGGCCAUAAUGCCGGUCCACUAGUAGGAGUUGUUUGUUAGAUGAUUGUAUUUGUGAUAAUUGUCUGGUAUGCCACUAUCUGUUAUGUUUUAUGUGCUAGUAUGGUAUGAUGUUAUGUGAUAGUGGUAGUAGGGGAAUAGUCCCUAUAUCCGGUCAAAAGGACCAAAAGGGUAGGUCGGGCACCCCGAUAUGUCUGUCGGUAGGUCUAUGUUAUGUUAUGUUAUUAUGUGGUAGUGGUAGGGGUGAAAUAGUCCCCAUAACCGGUUGAGAUACACAAGAGGGUAGGUCGGACACCUAAAUAUGCCUGGCAUGAGGUAGGUCGGGCACCCCGACAUGCCUGACAGUGGGGUAGGUUGAGCACCCCGGUAUGCUCAGCAGGGUAGGUCGAGCCCCCAGAUAUGCUUGACAGGGUAGGUCGGACACCCAGAUAUGUCUGACAGGGUAGGCUGGACACCUAGAUAUGCCUGACAUUAUGUGAUUUGUAUGGUAUGUGGUAUGAUGAGGGAACUCACUAAGCUUUGUGAUUACGGUUUACAAUUUUGGUUUCAGGUACUUCGUUUUCAAAAGAAAGGAGCUGCCUCGAUUGCAACGCAUCACACUAUUUUUCCGCACAUGAGAUCUUUAGGAUUAUACUCUGAUAUUGUUUUAUGAUGACAUGCUUAGAUUAUUGACAUACUGGUUUGCCAUCAUAUGUUAUUAUGAAUGUUUUCUUAUACUGUUGGUUUUAUAAUAACUUAAUUAAAACGAAAUUUUUGAUCUUAAAUUUUGGGAUGUUACAUCUCGCCAUUCCAACAAAUAAGAACAAGAAGUUUAUGGGACAAAACUCAAGAUCUAGCAACCUAACAUGAUAAAAAUCAAGUCUUGGACACUUACAAAGGUCCAGAAGUGUGCCAAGGUAAAGAAUGGAGACUUGCUUGCUUGAUCUUUGCUUCCUUCUUCCCCCUUCUUCCUUCUUUAGCUUCAAGGAACACCAAAACUAGCUCAAUAGUGGAGGAAAGUGAUUAGGGAUUUCUUUAGGGCUUGAAGGGGCUGAUGGAGGCUGAGGAUGAGCAAACCCUAGCCUCAUCAUUCCUUUAAAUAGGGAGCAAAACCGGAAAAAUAUGGUUUUCAUAUCAGCCAUUCACCACGUCGUGGCUAAUACUGCCACGCCGUGGUGGCUUAAAUGAAACACAUGAAUCCUUAGCGCCUCGCCACGCCGUGGUGGUGCCUCCACCACGUCGUGUCAACCUUCAAAAUGAUAAUUUCAAUUACAGAUAAAGUACCUUAAGAUCCGGAUGUUACAGUUACACUAAUUACACACACACACACACAAAGAGAGAUGUCAAACUCAAUAAAAAAUCUUAAAAGGUUAAAAAAUGGUAUUUAGUUUAUUAAGUUAAAUGAUAGUUUCUAUACAAAGGAAAAAAAAAAUUAUUACUCUUUCAAACACAUUCUUUCUAGUCACAUAAUAUUCAAGUCACAUAAUAUUCAUGUAACCAAAAAAUGUCAAAUCAACAUUAAACAUAGGAGAGUUGAGGGAGUCCACCCCCACUGCUUUGAACCUACUUGACACCUCACUACCAUAUCACAUUUUUCUCUUCUUUCAUUUUCAUCUUCCCAACCAACGACACAUAAAGAUCUAUUCUUCCUAAUUCAAAUUCAAACACAUUUUGGUUCAAGUUUCGAUGCAUAAAGUGCAAUUAACUAAAAGUUAAGCUAAGAAGUAGUGGAACGAGUUAGUUUUCCCACGAGGGAUGAAUUUAUGCGGCAUCGCAAAAAAGGAAAUGAUUUUCCUUGCAGUACCGUCCAUACUCUCAAAAAGUCAUCCAACUCGUUGUUUACUCCGUCCAUCCUUAUUACUGGUAAUAAUGAUGUUUUAUGAAUAGUUUAAUAAAUUUAAUAGAAUAAUAUGUCCUAGUAAAAUAUAAUUUAUUUAAUAAAUAAAACAAAAAUUAUUACGUUCCUAAUUAAUUUUCUCCUAUGUAAAUUUCAUCUUUACAUAUGAAUAUCCGUAUGUUGCAUUAAGUUAAAUAAAAUAAUAAAAUUAUUUAUUUAUAUUAUAUAAUAAAAUCCUGACGUAUAUAUUAUAUUGAAAUUUUUUAUUUAUUAUAACAAUGAAUCAAUAUGAUGAAAUUUUAUUUAUUUAUUUUAUAUGAAUAGUUUAUAUAUGAUUUUUUAAAUAAGACCAUAUUUUUCUAUCGUCAAUGUUUUUAUAGAAAACUGAAAACUCCAUAAUGUUAUUGUAAUUAUUAAAGUACGUUCACGGUUACGGUGGUUAAUUAUCAUCCCGCCAUCCAUCUUAUCAUCUCUUCUAGCUUUGCACAAUUUCUUCUUGAUUCUCUCUUUGUCUCUCAUGGAGUCUCUCUCCAUAGGUCUCCCAGCUUCCCGACCAUCUCCAAAGAACCCUAAAUUCCACAAAAUCAAAACACCCAAUCCCAUUUUCCUUUUCACUAGUUGCCAUUUAACCCCAAAUUCCAUCCGAUUCCUUUCUCAUUUCACCAAGAAAAAACCCAAAUCAACCAACACUACCCUCAAAUCCCAAGCUCUGGCUUUCCUUUUUGUGGGAUUUCCAUUUCCACUUUCUUCAUUUGCCUCUGAAGAAAUACCCAUUGACCAAUCGUCUAGCAAAAUCAACCUAGAGUCGAUUUUGGUUUCAAUUGAUGAUUUUUUCAACAGAUAUCCGUUUUUUGUUGCUGGGGUUGUUUUCAUUUGGCUGUUUGUCAUCCCUGCGACUCAAGAAUACUUGCGAAAGUACAAGGACAUAUCUGCUCUUGAUGCUUUCAAAAAGCUUAAGGAUGACCCAAAUGCCCAGCUAUUAGAUAUCAGAGAUAACAAGACUCUGAGGGUUCUGGGCUCGCCCAAUUUGAAGAUUUUUAGUAAGAAUGCUGUUCAGGUCGAAUUUCGUGAUGGGGAUGACGACGGUUUUGCAAAGAAAGUGAAAGAGAAUUUCGGGGAUCCUGCAAAUACCACCAUUUGCAUUCUUGACAAGUGAGUUUUUGCAUACAAACAGACAUUUAAAAUCAUAGAGUUAUUUGGAUUGUAGACUAUAGCACCACCACUUUACCUUUCUUCACAAACUGCUUGGCACCUACUAAUCCCAAUCUUUGUGUUUGUAUGUUAAAAUUAAUAAACAAAUGGCCAAGUUAAAUCCUUUGUUAUUUGGUCUAAAUGUGCAAUUCAAUUGGAAGGACACUCAUUGGAACCUAAUCUAAAAAUGCAUAAGUAGCACUAAAUAUUAUCUAAUGAUUAGGGUCUUGGCAAAUAUACUUAUGUUGUAUAUGAAUCCUAAUUCAAAUUGAAAUUGGUCUUCCUACAUGGAUAGAGAAUAAGAAGUUUGAUCCCCUCCUUAUUAAGUGUUUGUAUAUAUUGUUUCAUUUCACUUGAAAAUGACUGUGUUGCCCAUGUGUCUUUUAUCUUUCCUUUAGCUGAGAAGUUUGAUCUGUAUAUGAUUCCUUUGUUUUGUUUGUAAGGUAGUUUUGAUGGUAACUCCAUGAAGGUAGCCGAGUUAUUGUUCAACAACGGGUUCAAAGAGGCUUAUGCUAUCCGAGGUGGAGUUAGAGGCAACAGCGGGUGGCUGGUAUCAUUCACUUUUUCCUUGAUAAUUCAUAUUUCAGUGAUCAGUUUUUUAGAGCAACCUGUUGUUUAUUUCUCCAUACUUUUAAGUACUACUACUAAUUGUAACACGCUAAUGUUCCAAGCAACCCAUUAUAAUUUGUUAUGCACUUUCUUUGGUUAACAGGAAAUACAAGAAACAUUUCUCCCACCCUCCGUACACAUCAACCUCAAAACAAAAGUCAAUAAGUCAAAACAAGUAAAUAACAAUGGAGCAAUCAACGAACAAAGUGAAGUCAAGAGCCAAAUAGAUUCUGUAGCUGAAAGCAAACAAACCAACAAUGGUUCUGUCAAACAUAAUACAUCAUCUAUGGGACCCGUGUCCAGAUCAUUGUCUCCAUACUCAAUGGUAAAAAGAUCAUACAUUUUUCAUCAGCAAAAUGAUUGAAAGUCAACCAAACUAAUUAUUUUGCUACAUUUUGAAUGCAGUAUCCUGAUAUGAAGCCGCCUUCCUCUCCAACUCCAUCCAAGCCUCAAUAAGGAUGCGACUCAUUUUGUACUCACUGAGUCAACUCGAUAUGUUUAUUUUUUUUAAUAGACCAUGUUAUUCAACACUUUUGCGUAUUCCUAGUCUCAUUAUGUUUAUUUGAUCCGAUUAGGAGUGUAAAAUCUUUGGCUCUGGAAUGAAAGGAAAUGAGAGUUGUAAUUGUUUCCACAAAUUUUACAACGUGAUAUUGUUUGUUCCAUUUACUAGAAAUGUUAAAAUAGGUCAAUAAGUGGGGCUUGGCGUGUUUCCAUGAGAUGCAGAAACAUACCUUUCUCACUGUCUUCCUCCAGGAACCUUCAACAUCCACUUUAAUGGUGAAGUUCUGCAAUAAUAUGAACAAAACAGAUUAGAAGAUAUGCCUAGCUCUAUAGAGCACAUAAACAGAUUCGAUGUAUUCUAAUUACAACUUUGAAUGGCAUGGACGAUAUGACCAUAUCUUUUUGAAACCAUGAAUGCAAAAAUGGGGAAGACGAUAUAUUUUGUAUUUAUAGAUUUUGGACGAUAUCUUUUUUUACAAUUCUUUGAUUUAGUUUCUAUUCUGGAAGCUGAUAGAGCUUCUUUUUCUGCGAUAGAUUUAAGAUCUUGUGUGAUUGUAACCACGAUUUACUUAGAUUCUUUCCUUAAAACAAAAAUGGAAAUGAUCUUGGAGAAACAAUUAUUCCAAAUACGUAUAAAAAGAUAGCUAGCUACCUAGGAUUGUUAUCGUUAUAAUAAUAACUAGUUAAGAAAUAUAACUUGUUUCUUUGAUCUCCUCACCCACCGCUCUGUUCUGUUUCGUGUUGUUUGAUUUGAUGUCCAUGGAGCCAUGCGCAGACAUGGUAAUUAAACCCAUCCCAUCUGGUUAAUUAAUUACUGUAUGUAGUUUAGCAAUCACCAUAGGAAUUAAAUUAGACGAACGAUGGUUUUUGAUGAAUUUGGUUUUUUUGUUUUGAAGGAGUGUUGCCUGAAAGUCCACUCCAAGUGUGAGUCGUGUAUGAUGAAGACGAUUGAGGUGUUACGUUCUAUCAGUGGUAAGGUUUUUAUGUUAGCAGCCAAAAAAUAGUAAUAGUAGGAGUCUAUUUAUUAUAUCAAAUUAAUUAGGUUUUGACUUUUGAUUAUGAUUUAACAACGGAGAUGGUAAUGGUAGGAGUCUAUUCGGUGACCUGGGAUGCUGAAAAAAAUAUUUUCAAAAUAUCUGGAGAGGUUGAUCCAAACAUACUUCUCAAGGCAGUGAUGCGGACAGGUGAACAUGCGGAGCUCGUCAAUGUAAAACUCAAUCACCCACAGCUAAGACACACAAACUAUAACUAUAAUUAUAAUAAUCAUAAUUUUGGUUAUGGUUAUCAUAUUCCUUCAUCCUCCUCCUACAGGAGGAGGGAUAUAAGGCCACUGCCUGAGCAUGAAUUCUACCCAGUUACUAGUAGUGCUUACAGGAGGCCACCUGGGAUUCAGUAUCUGCCUUCUAAUUACGACACCACCAGCUAUGGCUAUGGCUAUGAAAACCCCCUGCCACCGGCAACCUAUGUGCCAUCAUAUCCAUAUCAAGAGCAUGAUCCAUAUGCUAAUUAUGAGGGGGUCAGCUUUUGCACCAUCAUGUGACCCUGCCAUUGGAGAUUUGGACUCAACUUUUCAACAUCAAUGUAUCUCUUGUUUCUUUAAUAUUUGUUUUUAGGUUUCUCAGAAACGUUUGAUGAUAUUUUAGCCUAAGUACGUAAAAUAUUUAGGUCAUGUGAGUAUGUGACGUCCUUUGCAGUUUGCAUCCACCGUGAUUUGUUUUUUUUUUUUUCUCUAAAUGGGGAAGACAUAGUAUUUGCGAAAUUUCUUGCGGAAGGCUAGCUAAUUUACAAUGUGUAAGUAAAACAAGGAAUCUAGAAACACAACCAACCAAACUAGUAACAUACCAAACAAUUUGAUUUCACUCUAUUCCAUUUGUCACUGAUAUAAGUUUGACACUACAUCUUGCCCGUGUAGUGUCUCGAGGUCCCUCUUUAAACCAUGAUACCAGCCCUCCUAGAUAUGUAACUUGUUUCGCCCAACAAUCAGCUAAUCAAGAAGGUGAUCCUAACCCCCGACCAGCUGUGUCUAACCCGCUACAGUCCCUUCAUAGUCAAGCUCUUUCAACAACUCGAUCAGACGACAAUGACUAGAUUAACAACACCCUUGGUCCAUGUAGCCCCUUUUAAACCAGAUGAGCAUGAUUUUCAUCUUCUUAGUCGACAUGGUCACGACAUAAUGACAGGUUGCCUUCACACCGCCAUUUUAAGGAAAGUCGGUGAAUGUGAACAAUUUUUGGAUAAUGGUUGCGAAAGAUUUUUUUAGAGAGGAAUGUGCAAAUAGAAAGGAAACCAACUUGAUAUAGUGUCCGAAAACCGCAAUGCCUUUAUUUCGAUUUCAACGGUCAUUUCAAAAAAUGGCAAAAACAAAUCCAAAUCUAACUUUUUUUUUUUUUUUUUUUUUUUUUUUUUUUUUUUUUUAAUAUGAUAUGGUCAUUUUUAUGAUUACCCUGAAUUUUAAUGAAUGACAUGAAAUAUUUAAUAAAAGAACUAGGAGUUUGCUUUUUGCAGCAGAAACCCUUGGUUAACGAUGAAACAUAUUUUUUAGGUCUUUUAUAUUUAUAUAUGACGUUCAUUUUAAAUUUUAAUAUAUUUCUUUACACACACAAAAGCUUUUUUACGAUUUAUUAAAUAUGGCAAUACACGUUAUAUCUACAAAUCAUUAGGGGUAAAAUGGUCUUUCCAUCUUGCUAUGAUAGGGGCAAUUUGGUAUUUUUAUAUCAUGCGAUGUCGGGGGCAAUUUCCUUACAUUGUUUGUGGUUAUGAACUUAAAUUAAUCGUUUUUAUGUUUUUGUUUAAAUUUUGGUUUUUGUCGCACAUUGUUUCACAAAUUUUGAGCUUAAUUUUCAAGGGAAAAAAAGUUGUAAAAAGUAGACAUUUUUUUAAUCAAUCAAAUAUGAUUUUUUUAGUUUAAAAGUUAAUAUAUCUUAGCUAUCGUCGUACAACGAAUGAGAAGACAAACAGACAAUAAGUUGUGUCGUUAAGCCUUUUUGUAUGGUAAAGUCAAUUUUUUUGAAGACUACAUCCAUAGAUCUAGGAAAUAUAACAUUGUUAUGCAUAAUCUGUUGUACUCUACUAAGGAACUCCACCACAUCAGACGUAAGGAAACCAAACGUAUCAAAUGCAAAUGGUAUGAACACGUAUUGAUUUUCUAUGCACGAUUUCUCAUGUUUGGUGACCUUGCAUAUGACAGCUUUUAAUGCAGCAUGUCCCGCCGUGAAACCCCCGACCCUCAAACCUAUGAGAGGGGAUACCCCUAUAAGGUCCACACAUGUUUUCCUCCAACCCAUCCAAAAAUCAAAACGUCAGCCGGUCUAAGAGCUGACCUUCCUUUUGUCGAGUCAGUCAGGAAAUUCAUAAGAGUCUCUUUCUUGGUAGAAACCCCGACACGCUUACAUAUGUCGACCAAAACAUCCCUAACCAUAUCGUACCUGUAUUUGAACCCCAUGGGUUCUUUGCAAUAAACUGCAUGCUCUCCAAAAUAGUCCAAACAUACCUUGCGGCACACCAGAUAUAUCUCGUUGGUUGAGAAUAUUGGAAUCAUGGGUCGAUAUUUGAAGAUGGUAGGAUACUCCAUAUGAGACAUAUGUUGGCCAAAUCCAUCUAUAGGCAUAACUAGAAAUCUUGAGCAUGCAGUGCACAUAAAAUUGAAAAGUUAUUUUCUGCUGAGUCGUUAUGUUGUAAUGCACUUUCAUAUCUUGGAUAAUUUUACUAAAAUGUUGAAAUGCACUUUCAUAUAUUGGACAACUUUCUUUGAUCCAUUUGCUACUAACAAGUCGGGACCCCUUAGUUGGUUAAUAAGAAGAUUUAUAAUCUAACAACUAACAUGGAGGUCAUGAGUUCAAUCCUAGAAAAAAUAUUUAAAUUAUUUGCAGUUAAAAAAAAAAAAAAAACUAUUGUUUUCGAUGGUACAAUUUUACUAGGUAUUUCUUGCAUUCAAAAAUGAUUCGGGUCAAAAAAUUCCGCCCAAAUUCACGUUCAUCUUCUUCGCCCGGUUCAUCACUCCUGUUGUUGAGUGUUUUUUAGAAGGAAAGCCGGGUUCUGCGUCUCCUUCUUCUGCCUACGAUUUCUCCUUCAUAUUCAUUGAUCAAUCAUCCUCCUCGUCCUGGCAGACAUGAAAUGGUCUAGCUGACUAUAUUUGGAGCUUCAAAAUCGGUAAUUAACUUUUCAUUCUGAUUUAGGUUUUCGGAGUUUGAAUUUCCUAUGCGUAGCUUUGCUUCUGCAAACUAGUUACAAUACCGCCUCUUGAAUUCUGUGCUUUGGCGAAUUGAAUCUCAAUUACAGUUCAGUUUUUUUAUUUUUUUAUUUUUAUUUAUUUAUUUAUUUUUUUUUGCUGUAAUUCGUUACAGGUUUGGCGAAUUGAAUCUCAAUAUGUAGUCUGGUUUAAUUUUUGAUCUUUUAGUUCCAUCUCUGUUUUGACUAUAUAUCUUCACUACUGUACUGCCAUGUACUUGGUGAGCAUUUUGAAAAUUUAAGAUGAAGAAACGUUAUUUAGUAUCAAAAUUUAUAACCUGAUGUGAAAUUUAUCUUUGUAUAGAAGUUUUAUUAGUGUAUCUGUUGGAUAAUAUUGUAAUUUCCCGUUAAUUUUUUUUGGUAAAUAGGCGUUUAUGAAGAACUUAAACUUAUAUUUAUGAAAACUUCAUAUACUGGUAUCAGUGACUAUUUCCUCAGGCUGCAAUGGCUUCAGACCAGGCAACUUUGGAUGGAAGCCUCUCGUCAACUGAUUUCCAAAAUUCUGCUAAUGCUUUUGCUCAAAAGUGGAACGAGUUCAAUUCUGGCUUUCCUGAGUGGUCAUGGAUUGAUUGCUCAAGCAGAUUAGGGUUUCACAGAGUUACUGAAGGAUAUUUGUCUUUACAGCACGUGUUCUUUCCGAGAUCAAUUGAGGUCUAGCUUUGAAUUCAUACUGCAACACAAAAUUGGCAUACAAAGACAUGAAAAAUGUUAUCUGAUGUCUCAUAUUUUAUGCAGGAAGAGCAUGAUGAAGGCAAUUCUAAUGAUCACCAAGAACCUUUUGAUACUGCCACUUUGGUAUGUUUAUGUUUAUGUUUGUGACAUUCCCAUUCUGACUUGAUUUCAGCUUAAUCGAACCAUUCCAUGAAAAGUGUAACAUUGCAUAGAGUUUUAGGAACAUUAUUGGUUAUCUGUUAGGCCUUGAGAUUGCAUCAGAAAUCAAUUUCCAUGAGAUUAAGAGGAUAAUACUAAUGAUGAGUGAUGAAAUUGUAUGAAUUUGCAAGGUACAGAGCAACAAUGAUAGUAAUGAUGGAGAUUGGUAUGAUUUCCAUGUGGUUUACAGUUCUUCCUAUAGGGUUCCGGUGCUAUACUUCCAUGCACAAACUAGUGGUAAGCUGAUCACUGCCUUAAUGCAUGGAACUUAGAUAUGAUGUCUCAUUACAUGCAUUGAUAAGUGAUAACUGAUGCUUAUGGAGUAUGUAGAUGGACAACCUCUGAACGUUGGUGAAAUUGAAAAGAACCUACCAACCAAAUCGAGCGAUGUGCUGAUGGAUUCAAAAUGGACUUUCAUAACUCAACAAGUAAGUUAUUGUUUUCAUCAAGUCUUUUAAAUAAAUAAUCAACAUAGAGAUAAGUUGAUUUAUUGAUCUGAUGUUCAUUUUCUUAAAUAUAGGAGCACCCAUACUUGAAUAGACCAUGGUACAUGUUACAUCCAUGUGGGACAAGCGAGUGGAUGAAGCUACUUCUUGCUGAUCAUAAUUCAACAGACAGAUACUUGGUAUCAUGGUUUACAGUGGUAGGCCAAGUGUUUGGUCUAAAAUUACCACUUGAAAUGCUAAAAAGCUAAAUUAGUUAAAACAUUUCAUUUCAUGCUGUCAUCAACAUUGGAUACUUUUAUAACAUCUGUUCCCAAAACUUUAGUUGUUCUAAUAAUCUACUCUACUUUAACUGGUGAGUCAACGGUUGUUCUGCUAAAACAAGCUAGGAAUUCUAUGUUUCCUUCAGCACCCUUUAAUGGAGACUCUAUCCAGCCAUUGCAUUGGAAUCCUAGAUCUUCCACACCCUUCACUAUCUUUUCACGCACCUAUAAUUAUCCAUCAAUUAUGAAGAUUGAUUUGUCUUUUAACAAUUAUGAAAAGUAAUUUGAUAUGAAGAGAAACUAUAUACCUCUUGAUGAACCAAGGGAUCUCUCACAAUUCCACCUCCUCCCACCUGUCCGGAUAAUUGAAAUGUGAGGAUUUUCUUAUAUUUAACCCACAAAAAGGAGAUGAAAACAUGAAAGGAAAAAGAAUUUGGCUUUUUCAUACUUGUGAUCUACGAGCCUCAAAUUGAGGUUUGAUUAGUGUAACUAAAGUAGCUUCUUCUUUCAUCAGGCUAAUAACAGCAGGCAUGACCUACAAAAGAGAUGAAACACAAAUCAUUGAAAUGAAUAAACUUUAUGUCUAUGAUGGGUCUGUUUUGUUGGAUGGAAUGAAAUACCAAACACACUACACAAGGGAAGGGCUUUUAAGUUAAUGCUCUCACCACAAGUAUAGAAAUGAAUGAAAGAUCCAAAGUCACCAAGUCAACUUUCUGAGGAAGUUCAGUAAGAUAUCUUAAGUUUGUCCUUUCAAUAACAGAAACACGUUCAUCUCGACGAAUUUUAUCCGCCACCUAUACAAAAAAUUAGUAUGAAUUUAAACCAUAAAUCGAUCAUUUUGUGUUUUCUGAUUAUAUAUAUAUAUAUAUAUAUAACAUUUACCUGUCCAUAUCCUACAUCAACACCAUAAACAAAAGAAGCACCAUACUGAAGCAAGCAAUCAGUAAACCCUCCAGUUGAUAGCCCUGAGUCAAGAGCCACUUUACCAGUAACAUCGAUUCCUAGCUGUUCAAUGGCAGCUUCUAAUUUAUGUCCUGCUCUAAAGUAAACAUCAAGUUAACAAACUGAACAACGAACAUGAAACCAAAUUUUAUAUACAAAGAAAGCUAUUUAGGAGAAUAAUCACCUACAUACAUAUUUCGGGAUUUCAGCCUUGAUUUCCACAACGGAUUUAUCAGAAACAGGGUGUCCAGAUUUAGUUACAACUCUCCCAUCAACAAUUACCUUGCCUAAAGUAAAAAAAAAUAAAAAUAAAUUAAAAUAAAUGCAAACACUUGGGAACAAAGAGUCAGCUUUGAGGAACUAGGGCAUAAAAAACACAGAAUUAUCAAUUAUGAGAUGAGCAACCUUGUAAGAUCCAUGAUUGAAUGUAGUUUCGACUGUACUGCUGAAACCUUUCAAGACAUACUUCAUCCAAUCUCUUCUUCCUAUAAACAUAAAUUGAGAAUAAUAGAUCAAAUUCAAGGUUGAUCUUAAAUUGGUGAGAGAGAUUGAAUUGCUCACUUCUUUGGCGGUAUAACUUUUCCUGACUUUAGAGUGGCGAAGCUUCUGACUGGACAAUUUUUGUGGGUGUUGGGCCAUCUCACUGGAUUGCAAUGUACAAGUAGUCAGAAUACAUCUGGUAGAAGAUAAAUCAUAACUACCUCAUCACUCUCAUCAUUAGAGCAUAAUCCUUUUCUCUUGAUAUCAUUUGAAACUUGAAAGCAUAAUUGCAUAGCCAGGAAUCAAAAUUCAAGCGUAACCAGUUCAAAAUAUGAGCUAAAGGAGCUGGAUUCCAAUUCCACGACCUAAAUAAUAAUUCUUUCCUUAAAAGAAAUAUUCAAAUUUCCUUAUUGGCAGAAAAAAAAAAAUAGUACCCAAAUGUGUUUGAUCGUUAUAGUUUUGUGGAGCAUUAAGUAACUAGGUCAUAAACUACUAUGAACACUUAACAAAACAACAGGUAAAUACUGGACAUCAGAAAUUAUAAUUAAUAGUUGAAUACUUCCUUUUCUACAUAAAAGGGCGUUAGAAUACCUCAAAAUCAUUGAACUCCACGAGAAAUUCUACAAUCACUAAUAAGCUGAUGAUAUCCAAAUUUUUUUAAAAGAAUUUAACUCAAUUUUUAUCAGAUUUAUACAUGAAAUACUGGAUACAGAUGAACGCGAGGAACCGAAUGAUAAGAAACGAAGAAAUGGAAAUUACGCAGAAGUACCUUGAAGCUGAGAGAAGUUUUGAUGUUCGGAUGUGAAGAAGACUCCAUUGCUGGAGCUAAGCCACCCGCAACGGCGAAAUAAUGGGAGCUUCGACAAUUGCAACACCAUUGAUGUGUCGGAGUCGGAGCGUUUGUGUCAUUGACUCAUUGUGUUAUCGGACUUAACCACAAAACUGGUAACGGGCUAUAAUUAGACCCAAUUAUAUGAUGGAAUGGGAUUUUAGGUAGCCCAAAUAGAUUAACAUUGCCACUAAAAGCAGCUAAACCGUUGCUUUUGAUUUUAAAUGGUCCUAAAUUAAAUUUUGGUGUUUUAUAAGGAAAUACACAAUGAAAUGACAUCUUAGGGUUGUUUAGCUAAACUUUUUAAAACAACUUAUUAGGUUACACAUCAUUAUGGGCGUGUUUGACAUCGAGCUUUUGGAAGCAUUUGAGAGCUUUUAGCUUUUAACAAAACACUCUAGUUUAAACAAAAAGUUCUGUUUGAUAAUACGAGUGUUUAACUUUUAGUUUAAACAAAACGCUCCAAAUCUAAAAGUUAUUUCAUGUAGCGUUUAACAAAACGCUACCAAGCUUUUGAAAUCAAUUUCCAUAAUUAUCCUUAAAAAUAUAUUUAUAUAUUUAUUUAUUUUUAAUCAGUUGUCUUUUAUGUAGCUUUAUAUAUUUCAAAAGCUUCCAGCUACUUUUGCCAAAUACCUAUAUACUCUCUCCGUCCCAAAAUUAUUGUCCACAGACAAAAAACACACAGAUUAAAGAAACAUUAACUACCACUAACUUUAUACAAUAUAAUGACAGUUUUAUCCUUACUUUGCAUUUAAUGUUCUAUUAAAUGCUUAGUUGGUUAAGUAAUAAUGAAGAAAUAUUUUGGUAAAAAUGUUAUUUAUUUUUAGAAUUGGACUAUUAUUUUGGGACAUACAAAAAAGGAAAGAUGUACUAUAAUUUGGGGACGGAGGGAGUAACAAAUAAAAGCUACAGCUUCCUACUAUCAGCUACCCGCUACCAGCUACCCGUUAACCGCUUCCAGCUAACAGCUACUUUUGUCAAACACGCUCUAUAAGUAAAAAAAAAGUUUUUGGAUGAAAAUAACUUAUUCCAGUGGGGAACCUCUAAUAAGUCAUUUUUUUCAUAAGUUACCCUACACUUACUUAUUAGCUUAUAAGCUAAUAAGCUAAUAAGUUAUAAACUAAUGAGCAAUAAUUUUUUUUUGCCAAACAUCCCUUUAAUAAAAGNUUUUUUUUUUUUUUUUUUUUUUUUUUUUUUUUUUUUUUUUCCAGUUAGCAGGUUACUCCACGUUUUAUGUCAGUGUCACAUAUAAUUUGAUGUAGCAUUAGAUGUUCACAUAAGCCACUCACUGCAACCUCCCUAGUAUCCUCCCUACAACCUUCAUUCUUCUUUAGACGUCUCCUUUAUGGUGGUGACUGGUAUACAUAAAAUUGUCGAAAGACUUUUUAAAACUAUUUAUUAAGUUUUAAUGAUAUUAACCUUAUGAUUUAUUUUAUAUUUUAUAUGAUUCUGAUUUAUUAAUUAUCUUUAUGAAAUUUAUAUAAUUUGAAAUAUCAAUUAUAGAUUAUAAAUAUAUACAUAAAAUUAAAUUUUAUCCCUAAUUUUGAUCAACUAAUUAUGUUGAAUUUAUUUCAUUAGGUUAUCAUAUCACUUUGAAAACACAUAUUUAUGUGGUUUUAUGAUUCUAUCAUUCUCAUAUUUUAUGCUCUUAAACGAUACGCUUUAUAUUGCUUUCAUUUAAUUUUAGUUAGGAUUUAACUAGUAUAACUAGUCUGAUAGACACAAAAAAAGAAAUGGACACAAAUGUUAUUAUGAUCCGAACUACUACUAAAAAAUCAGAUUGUUAUAAGUUUGCAACUUAUAAAUCUUUUACAGGGGAAAGACAUUAUUCUUUGUUCUAAUUUUCAGAACAUGUGAGAAAUUGUGAAAAUACGAGAUUCUAACGUGAAGUUUGGAUUGGAAGUGCCCCGCUUAAGGUCAGAUUCCAAAGAUUUUAUACUUGGAAACAUAUAAAGACUGGUCGAGUAAAGAUAUGCAGGAGAAUAAUUCUUAGGAAUUAUAAAAAUUAGAACACCUCUGAUCACAUGUUCAAAUUGGGACUUGUAAAGCUCAAGGGUGUUUACUGUGAAGGAUCCUUGUGAGUUUAUUGAUGAUUACCUAUUAGAGAUAGGGAAUGGCGCCAUUAGAUGAGGUCGGUUUGUCCCAAUGAAGGUGAAUAUCCUUGGGUGAAGGGUUAUGCUUGAUCGGUUGCCUACUAGAGUCAAUCUGGUUAACCGGGGUGGGGACAUCUCUUCUAUUAUGUGCAUCUGGUGAGGUAAUCAUGAGGAGUAUUUUAGAUCAUUUGUUGUUAAAUGUGAGACUAUAGCGAGAACAUGAAAUGCAAUUUUCAAGUGGGUGAAUGUAAUAUAACCGAAUUGGAAUUAUGUUACUCACGUCUUUCAACGGAUAGAUGAUUUGCAUUUGUCUAUGCAAAAGAAAUCGACUUUGGAAGCAAUUAUGUUAACUACUUGGUGGGUGCUAUGACAAUUCCAAAACUCUUCGAUGUUUGAUAAUACCCAAAGAAAAUAUUUGAUUGUUGAUAGUGUAGUAGAUAAUUCUUUUAAUUGAUUUGUCAAUAGAAAUAGUAAAAUUGUCAUGAACUUGGUCAAUUAGAUUCAAAACCCGGCUAUGUUGCUUUCUUUGUAAAUUGUUUUCCCCUUUACCUUCUUACUAGUGUGAUAAUUAAAAUUAGUUGUUUAAAAAAACUAUUGAAAUAUGUCAAAAAAAAUAUUAACGGGUUUAUACACUGUGCCAAUGUUUUGACAUUGUCAAAAUCCUCCUUGAAGGUUUUUUUUGACACGUGUCAAUCUCUCAUGAUUUUUGACAUUUAUCAUUUUAUUAUAUUUUUAGAAUAAAUAAUAUCCACAUGUCAUUUGUAGGUUUUUUCAAAAUUUAAAUUAAAAAGCCACAUAAUACUUAUAUAUUUAUAUAUGUAAAGUAUUGAAUGUAAUUGAUAGUUUAUUCAUUUCUUAUUUUAAUUUUUAUUUAAAAAAAUACAUGUUUAUAUUUUAGCAUUUAAUCUUUUGUUUAAUCAACUCAUCUAAUACACACACGUUUACACCUAGUUUUAUAUGAUAAUUAAACCCGAAACAAUUUUGGUCAAUAAAUGCCCAAAAAAAAUUUGUAUUACUUUUACUUUUGAAAAUAUUUCAAGUUAUAUUUAUUUUUAUUAUAUUACAUGAAACAAAAAAAGGAACUUAUGUAAACAAAAUAACCACCAAAGUUUAUAAUUUAACACAAAGUAGGAAAUAUGGCAAACAAUUGUCCUCCAUAGACUACGCAAUCCAAGCAAAUGAUAUAGGAUAAGGGUGGCAAGCCAUCCAUAUAUUCAUCAUCCAAUAAGGACCAUCCAUGUGUCAUGAAUCAUCUUUGAAGGCAAACCCACAAAUUUGUGAAGUAAAUGGUCAUAAUAAGUUAUAUUCAAAACUGAAGAAAUUGGGGACAACAAGCAUCGACCAUGGCUAGCCUCCAGCUCAAGACUGGCUUGACUUCCUCAUUGACCACAACAAGGCCGGUUGCACCCAAAGGCCUUUCUGGUUCACCUCUUAGGCUCUUCCCUUCUUCCCAGAGGUCUUCCUCCACUAUCAAGGCAGUAAAAACCGACAAGGUCGUUUCUUCUUUUCAUUUUUCUGUGAUUUUUAAGAUUUUAUUUAAUAGGGCAAUUUACUGAAUGCCCAUGUUGGGGAUCCACGAUCUGCUCAGUGCUCAUCAAUCGAGCUAGAUUGAUUUCAAAUGCUUUAGUUGGUGGUAUUUGCCUUAUAUGAUGAUUUCCUGAAGGUUAUGCCUUUAAAUUUUACUUUUCAUGUUGUCGGUUUAUUGAGAAUUAGUAACUAAUUUCAAGAUUUAUCGUAGUAUUGUAAGGAAAAGCUGAUUUUAAUUUAUUCAAAUGCUUCAUACUUUUCCUUAAGAUAAUGCAUAUGUUCUAGUUGUUUUACUAGAAAUAUGAUGCUCACGAUUGAGCCAUUGCCCAUUGUUGAAGGUUAUAAUGGUCUUUUUUUUUUCUUUAUAGAUAUGAGAAAGUACCAUAGUAAAAACUUAGAACUAGUUAUGGUUUUCAUGUCAUAGAGGCUUGUGGAUCCUUUCGGUUACAUCACAUGUAUUAAUUAUGUCGGGCAUAACCACGUAUUUUUUCUAGUUCUAUUUGUAUUUUCUGUUUGCUAAUACGAUAAAACUAUGCAGCCUACAUUCCAAGUCGUCCAACCCAUCAAUGGUGACCCGUUCAUUGGAAGUCUCGAGACUCCAGUGACAUCGAGCCCACUAAUUGCAUGGUACCUUUCAAAUCUUCCAGGAUACCGGACCGCUGUGAACCCAUUGCUCCGAGGCAUUGAGGUCGGGCUAGCCCAUGGGUUCUUCCUAGUGGGCCCAUUUGUGAAAGCAGGCCCAUUAAGGAACACAGAGUAUGCAGGUGCAGCAGGAUCACUAGCCGCGGGUGGGCUUGUGGUGAUCCUUAGCAUUUGCUUGACUAUGUAUGGAAUCGCAUCAUUCAAAGAAGGUGAACCGUCGAUUGCACCAUCAUUGACUUUGACCGGGAGGAAGAAACAACCUGACCAACUUCAAACAGCCGAUGGUUGGGCUAAGUUCACUGGUGGAUUCUUUUUUGGUGGGAUCUCCGGUGUCACUUGGGCUUUUUUCCUUCUUUAUGUUCUUGACCUUCCUUACUAUGUUAAAUAGGUGAAAUCCUAUUUGGGCUUUUUCAAAUUCCUAUUGAUACAUGAUCGCUCAAAUUAUGAUACACUUUGCUUGUGCUUAUGGAAGAUUGUAAAAUACUUUAUGGUUUAAUUAUUAUAAAAACAAACAAACUGAUAAUCAAUUAUGUCUCAGUGAUAUGAUUUUAUUGACAAAUAUACCUUUCAAAAAGAAAUUCAAAAUCUAUUGAGCAGAUUGUUAUAUACUUGGAACAUGCUAAAAUGAACUACAAAUUAUUAUCAAACUCGUAAUGUUUUUGUUCAAAAUCGACCUUCAAGUAUUUAGUAUGACUUGUUCAAACUUGAAAUGAAAAAAAAAAUGUUUAUGGCUUUAUGUUGUCCUCUGUAGUACCUUGGUUUUGGUAUAUUGAAUGUCCAAAACGGUCAUCAUACAAAUGAUAAAUUAAUCACUAAAAUAUUGAAUGGUGGUUUAAAUGGUGAUGUGAACUCAACCCACAUAAGAAGAAGAAACAUGAAAAGAGAGUUGGUUUAUAUAUGGAGUCAAUCCAUGUAGUUGUAAUUAAGCUUGAUUAAAUGUAUAUGUAGUUGUAUCCAUAGAAGUUUAUAUCAUUUCAUCGAAAUAUUGUAUGCUUCGAUUUUUUACAUUUCAUAUGAUAUUAAACAUUUUUUUUUCUGAUAUAUAACCAAAAAAGUUUCAAAAAUAUGAUUAUUAGUCUUUGACAAGAAGAUUGAACUGUCAAAUUUUAUAUAAAAACAAACAAUAACAAAAGGCCGUGUCCUAUAAAAGAAUAGUUGAGCUUGGUAAAACGAUUUUCUAUAACUAAAAUCCAUCCAAACAAUAUAAAAAAAAUAAAAAACAGUAUUACUGAUCUUAAUUAGUGGCGGAGAACCUCAACCGUCAACAAAUGAGGCAAACCAGAACUGUCGUAUUAAGGCAAAACAGAACUGUCGUAUUUAGGUCAAAAGUCAAAACCAAGGUAAUUAUAAUUUCUUACUCAGUCACCGGGCGCAAAAAUGUAAAAGCUCCAUCCCACAUCGGCGCAAAGUACCAUUGUAAUUGACUAUAUAUUAGCUGCGGAGGGAUGAAAGAGCACGACCCUACUUGAACAGGAUCUGUUCUACAGGCUUGUACCUCUUUAUUUUUUAUUCCUAAAAAGACAAAAACACAUUUUGAGACGCAAAGCAACUGUUUGAUGAAAUGCCUAAAAGACGCUCCUACUAAUUAAUUAUUGCUAGACAACCAAAACUUUCUUUAAUUAGUUGCUCUAAAAUUAAAACCUCAAGUUUAUUUUCUUGUUUCAUUUGACAAUAUCUAAUUAAGAUCUAAUAUGUAAUGGUGGCCUUUAGCUUGUGACUCUCUUUUGGUCCUUUUGUUCCUGACAAAGUCUUCCAAAGGUCUUGUCCCACAUCGUAUUAGCAGAUGAAGGCAAAUUGGCUGAUGCAAAUCAAGUGCUCGAUGAAUUGCGUGAUGGAGAUUAUGUUUCGUCUUGGGUCAGGUAUAACUCAUCUUAAUUUGAUCUCCUACUACUUUUCACCCAGAUGAGUGGGUUCUUCUUCGGUUCAGUCAAAAGAUUGCUUCUCACAUUUCAGAAAGAAACUGAUAGAAAAUCUUGUUGAAGGAUGCAUGUCUAGUUGACAUUUUGAUUUAUUUAUAUAUUUGAUUACAUUCUUAAUGAUCUUUACGUUUUGAUCAUAUAUGAUCACCUUGACUGCUUAUACUUAAAUUCACCAAAGAAAUUUCCAGGUAGUUGUGAUAUUUGAAUUCUUCUUGAUAAGACUGAUUACCCUUCUUCUUCAUCCACUAGAAUAUUGCACACCUUUCCCUGUUGUAAUUAUUUAAAUUAAGGAGAUAUAAUAUUUAAACAGAGAAAUCUUUUGUUUAAACACUUGAAUGAUGUAUGCGUGGGGAAGUAUAUUGAGUCAACUGAUUGGCUGAAGCUCUUGUUAUGAUUUUAAUCAAUAAAAAGAGUGAAUAACAUACAAGAUGAAUAGAAUAUAGAGAAAAGAGCAAAGCUUAAUUUUCAUAUUUGCAGCAGCAACAUGAGCAUUUUUUACCAUUCAAUAAUGAAGAUAAGUAGCAGGGAGAGAACACACCUUUCAUCUUUAAUGUUGAUGUUGCUCUGCUUGCAGAUAUAUACAAAAGCUCAAGAAGAUUUAGCCUACAAGGAGAUCCCAGUGGGAGUGAUUCUAGAUAUGGGAUCAUCAUAUCCAUAUUCAUAUUCAUAUUCAUAUUCUGGGGUUGGAAAGGCUGUUCAUAGCUGCAUCACCAUGGCAGUGUCUGAGUUUUACAUGGUCAAUCCUCACUUCCAAACAAGGAUAAUUCUUCACCACAGGGAUACCCAUGGAGACCCACUGCAUGCUCUCUCUGCUGGUAAGUCUUACCAUUUAGAUAGCUAUUUCAGACUUCAUUUGGAAUGCAUCAUGUAACAAGAUAUAAAAAGUAAACACCAAAAAGCAUACAACACAUGAAAGGCGUGUACUUGUCAUACAAAUUUGUCAUUCGUGUCUUUCACAACAUGUUUAAUUUCAAUGAAGAUGUUUUCUUUGGAUAUUUUUUCAUUGUUUUAAUUCAUUUGUUUAUGAUUGUCUUUUUUGACCAUCAGCUCUUGAUCUUUUGGAGAAGCCGAAAGUGCAAGCAAUCAUAGGUUCAGAGUCAACAGCUGAAGCAAAGUUCCUGGCGGUUUUGGGAGACAAAGCUAGAGUGCCUAUUCUUUCACUUUCACCAUGUCUCUCUUGCAACAAGCAUCCUUAUUUCCUUCAAGUUACACAAGAUGAAAAUGAAACCACUCAAUUUAAAGGGAUUGCUGCAAUGGCUGAAUCCUUUAGAUGGAAGGAAGUUAUCCUUAUCUGUGAGGAUAGUGAUAGUGGAAGAGAUAUGACAAAUACUCUCCAAACAAAGAGCAUACUGGUAACACAUAGGAGCCUAAUUUCAACCUCUUGGAGCAAUGAACUACUCCAGGAAGAGCUUCACAGGCUUUCAACCGUGCAAACAAAAAUAUUUAUCAUGCAUGCUUCCCCUUCUGUUGCAUCCCACCUUUUGGUGAAUGCAAAGCAUCUAGGAAUGAUGGAUGAAGGAUACAAAUGGAUUAUCACCGGUAAGACUAUGAAGUUUCUGAAUUUGCUGGACGAUGAAGUUAUUGAGUCUAUGCAAGGGGCAGUGGGUUUUAAAUCAUAUGUUCCACGAUCAAGAGAUCUUCACAAUUUCACUUCCAGAUGGAGAAGGAAAUACCAUGUGAUGGUGAAGCUCCAGGAGAUAAACAGUUAUGCUCUUUGGGUGUACGAUGCAGUUUCAGCUCUAGCAAUGGCUGUAGAGCAAGUUGAACAACUGAAGAGAAAAGAUGUGGAUACAACUGCAAGUGAGUUGACUCAAAGCCAAAGGGGUACAACACUUCUGCUGAAUGAGAUGUUAAGCAUCUCAUUUCAUGGUUUAGGUGGUGCUUUCCAACUUAGGAAUGGGAAGAUUAAUGCUGCACAAGUCAUGGAAAUAGUAAAUGUGAUAGAUAAAGGUGAAAAGAGGGUUGGAUUUUGGACACUGGAUGCUGGUUUCACCAAAAAUAUUGGUAGUUUGAAUAAUUCAGUUUCUGAUGAGGGUCUGGAAGCCAUCAUCUGGCCUAAAGGUGGUAUCACAACUUAUCCAACACACAGGAUGCUACAAGUGAGUAGCAAAAUCCUCAGAAUUGCCAUUCCACCAAAAUUUGGAGUGGGGAGAGUUUUUCAAGUGAAAUACGAUGCUGAAACUAAUUCCACAGUCAUUUCAGGGUUUUGUGCAGACGUAUUCCGAGCUGCAUUCAAAGGAUUAGGUCGCGACAUAUCCUUUCAGUUCAUCCCAUUUACGGGAGAAGAUAGAAUAGUAAAUUACAACGAGCUUAUAUAUGGAGUCUAUACUGGGGUAUGCAUCUUUUUGAACCCAGUAUUCUUUGUUCGAUGCAUCGGAAAAAAAUAUUAUAAUCUGUUUUAUUUACACCAGGAAUUUGAUGCUGCAGUUGGAGAUAUAACAAUCACGGCUAACAGAACUCUAUAUGUUGACUUCACACUGCCAUAUACCGAUCUUGGUGUUGGAACCCUGUCUCGAAAUGCUCAUGCAGGCAUAUGGAUCUUUAUGGAACCACUGAGUUCAGAUCUGUGGCUUGUAUCUGCUUCUUUCUUUAUAUUACUCGGUUUUGUCAUUUGGAUUCUUGAACAUCAGACGAAUAAAGAGUUUCAAGGUUCAUCAUCACAACAGAUUGGAACAACAUUAUGGUUUGCCUUUUCGACCCUUGUUUUUGCCCAUAGUAAGCUCUCACUCACAUCCCGUUUUAGUUUUUUACACUGUUGUCUAAGAGACUUUUGUAUUUCAUAUAUACGGAGCAUGAGAUAAAAGACACAAUACAGCUGGGAGACUUUUGUUUUUUCGAAUCUUGGUAAACUAAACUUGAAUUGGACAAAAGAGUCAAAACUUAAGGUGGUGGUUCAAAAAUUGCAGGGCAGAAGCUGCAGAGUAAUUUGUCAAGAUUUGUAGUAAGUGUGUGGUUGUUUGUAGUGCUGGUACUUGCUUCAAGCUACACAGCAACCUUGAGUUCACUGUUCACCAUUGAACAAAUUCGGUUAGCCUCAAAGGGAGACUUAAUUGGAUACCGAGAUGGUUCCUUUGUGCAGGGAGAUAUUGUUAGGAACUUGAAUUUUAAAGACACCAGGUUGAAGCCAUAUUAUACAUCAGAGGAAUAUGCUGAUGCUUUAUCACGUGGAAGCAAGAAUGGUGGUGUUGAUGCAAUUAUUGAUGAAAUUCCAUACCUGAAGGGAUUCCUAGCUCAGUAUCCAUCUGGCUACUCCAUGGUUGUGUCUGAAGUCACCACUAGUGGUUUUGGCUUUGUGAGUGUCCUCUCCUCACUACACUUACUAGUUACUAGUUAUACCAUUUAUUGAAGUUUGUAGAUCAUGAACAACUCUAUAUGUAAUAAUUCAUCAUGUGCAGGCAUUCCCGUUAGGUUCACCCUUGGUCCCUGAGUUAUCAAGACAGAUUUCCAGACUACGAGAAAAUGGGAGCUUAGCAAAGUUGGAGAAGAAAUGGUUUAAAUCAGAUCCACACUCAAAGGACUCUGAGCCUGCUUUAAAGAUUCUAAACCUGAAAACGUGUCGUGGUCUAUUUCUUAUUAGUGGAGUCUCAAUGGCUGUGGCCCUUUCCAUAUUCUUGUUUUAUUUUAUUCAUGAGAAACUGCAUUUCACAUACACAAUGCUGGCUGGAGGAAAACUUGCAUUCAUAAUGAGGAUUCUCAACCCUAAACCGGUGGUUGAACUUGAAAGAAGAUGAUCCCAACCAAACAACAACUACAACUAUGCCAUUCAUCUUGUCUAUGUUUAUUCCUUUCUAGUUUCUAGGCUCAGGCAUAUGAAGAUUCAUUAGUAAAGUUGAUUAUCUCUCCAAUUUCUCCAUUUAGUCGUGUACUUUUUUUUAAUCAAUGGUAGCAAUGUGAGGUAUGACAAAACAAUGUUGAAUGUUAAGAUUCUGCUUCUUUAACGUCUUGUUGAUCAUGUUUCAAACAUUCCUUUCUAUACUUGUUUUUUUAGAUGUAGUCAAUUAUGAGGUUCAAAAACUGUCACUUCAUUUUUAGAUUUGCAAUUGUUUGUAUUCAACCUCCACCCUUUCUACAACUGGAUCACAACAGUUGGAAAAAUCCUUUAGUUACAAUAUCCGUUAUUGCAUUAUGAAAGCUGAUUUCACUUGCAUAAUCAGAUGCAGUGGAGUUGAAAGUAGAAGAUGCAUGGUAACUUUUACACAUAGUCUUUUUCCCUUGUGGCUUUACAAUCCUUUUUGAAUGUUUCUGCUGUGUAUUUGUUUUCAAUCACUUCAUUUCUGCCCUGCUCUGCUUAAGGCUGUAAAAACAAUGAAGAAAGGGGACAUGAACAUGGCUCAAGACUCAAGAGAAGAUCAACGCUGCUGGAAAAAAAAAAGAAGGAAGUGGGUAAUGUGUUCUUUAAAGCCGGUAAAUAAUAUGAGAAGGUAAUUAGACUCUGGUUGACUAGUCAUAAGUCAAGAACUAAUUAAGUUGUACUAAUGCAAAACUAGUGUAUGACUAAAUCUAGUUUCUAUUUUUGACCUUUCCAGGCUGCUAAUUAAGUUCAUUGAGUAUGUCACUAAUUUUGAAGAAGAAGAAAAGCAUUGAAGGUUACCUGUAACCUUCAUAAUGCAGCUUGCCGUUGACAGUUUGUUGUUUCUAAAUUUAUAUGCUGUUUAAAAGUUGUUAAUAAGUGGUGGGAAACCAUGAUUGAGACAGGUGUGGGAACUUGACACUAAGUAUUUAACUAAUGCUUUGAUUGGGUAGUGGCAGUAUGAUAUCCAUGAAUAUUGCUUUUGAUCAUGGACCCCACCUUCUCAAUUACAUCACAUUUACUAACUAGUUUGGGCUUGGGUCCCACACCCCGUUUGGGCGUUGACUUUGAUGGGGAGGAAGAAGCAACCUGACCAACUUCAAACAACCCAUGGUUGACUUGGGCCUAUUUCCUUCUUUAUGUUCUUGACCUUCCUUACUAUGGUAAGUAGGUGAAGUCAUUAUUUGGGCCUUUUUAAAUUCACCAUUCUAGUUAAUUAUGAUAUACUUUGUUCGUGCCAUGGAAAUUUGUAAUAAGUUUUAUUGUUUAAUUUCUGUAAAAACAAACAAAUUUAUAAUCACUUGUUUUGGUGUGACAUGCCAUAUAUAUUUUCGUUCAAAAUUGACAUUCAACUAUUAUAUCACAUAAUCAUCACAAGGUGAUACUUGGCGAAUUAGUUAUCCGGAUGUCUUAAUGUCAUGAAGGUCAACUGUGUAUAUCAAAACAAGCACUACCCUAUUUGUGGCCAACUUGUGUCCCUUAAUCCUUUUCAUCCAAUUAGAUCAUAUGCCCAACUUAACCUUAUUAUAUGGAUAUACUCUUUAUGCUUAGGACGCAAACAAUAUAAAAGCUACAUCCCAAGAAACUGUUUUAUGAAAUGCCUCAAGAAGAUUAUAACUCCUAAUGUUCUUGUUUUACUGGUGUUGAUCGAGGUUAGUGGCCAGUUUAGAGAUGCGAAGCAACUGUUCUAUGAAAUGCCUGGUAAAGAUUAUGACAAGAUAGAGAGUUUUUUUGGUUUGAUUUAGGUUUUAUCAAGUUUUAUUUGUUGUAACGAGCUAACAAAGACAAUAAUUCUACUAUGAUACUUGGAAUCGCAGUUUUUAUAACAAGCUAACAAAGACAAUGGUGCUGCUAUAUAUGAACUUGUACUCAUGCAUUAAGGAUUGUACAAAUAUUGCUCAUGAUUUGAGUAAGAUUUCUUCUUUGUGCCUAUGAAUUUGUUGGCUCAAGAGAAGAUUUCUCAUUUUGGCCAGGCCACUACAGUCCCC